GGGGUUUAGCUGAUUGAUGUGCUUUGGUCAUGCCUAACAGAGGCGUGUCUAUUGUGUUAGCUUAUUGAUCUAGGGUUGUGUACUUUGGUCUGUGUAGCUGAUUGAUAGGUGCACCAGGUUUCUAAUUGAUUGAUGAAAGCAUCGAUUACUUUGGCAGAAGGAUGAUUCCUAAAGCAGUUGUCUUAACUGACAUGUGCUUAAGUGUUAUUCUAGGUAACUAGGUGUGGUUGUGUCGGCUCGAUUACAUCAGCACAACAAUUGAGUGACGUACAACCGAUUGGAGUGUGGUUGAGGAUAUGUGACCGAUAGACAUAUAGCCGAUCUCUCAGCCGAUAAAUCGGUUGACAGAAGUGUGUGGAUAAGGAUGGAAAAACUAAGGAUUGAUCGGCCAUAUUUGACCGAUAUGGAAAAUAACUAGAAUCGGCUUGGAUUGGCCGAUAGCAAGAAUCUUAAGAUUGUGUGUGCAUCUCCGAUACAUCGACUAUGUGCAGCCGAUGUAGGAUAGAAUAAAGGAAUUGUAUCGACAGUAGUCGAUACUAGAAAGGUAACAACCAUAUCAGCUAACCAGCCGAUGGUAGAAGCAUCGACUGAUAGAUGUUACACAGGAACAUCAUAGACUCAAGGAAACGGAUGCUUAGCGGCUAAACUGAUAGCCAACGCUGAAGCAUAGCUGCCAAGAUGUAUUGGCUAAGCAGCAGAUGUACAUGAACUAACAAGGAUCUUUAUACGAAUAGGACCUAAGGAGACUGCAAUCAAGACAAGGAUAACGUCUUGAUGGCAGGGACAUGAGCACUCGUGUGAAAAGAUUAACCAGAUAUCACACACCACUACUUAAGACAUACAUCCUAUGAUUUACCUUUCAGUUAUAACACAAGCAUACAAUAUAAAGUACAAUAAAGCAUUCAUUCCCUAAUAGUUAACCUAGACCACAAAUCAAAGACUUUCAACUCAAAAUCACAACAUAUAACUUGUAGAUUUUGACCUAGGGUUUCAAACAAAACUGAUUUUGUAUUUUUAUGAACUUCUUACGAAAAUCUAUGAAAUGUAGGAGUUCACUGAUUUGAAAUAAAGAACGUUCUGGAAAUCUUACAGAAAACACCCUAGAAUUUUCUAAAUCAAAGCAAUCAAGUCCCUAGUCAGGGAAAAACAGAUGGCAGGAAGAUAUUGACAAUAUUCCGGCAAAGGGAUCACCGGCAUUAGAAAGAUUUAGUGAAUCAGGGCAAACCUUGGGGUAGCCUUGGUUAUGAAGGAGAACACGCGGAAAGUGAAUUCCCGCGGUGAACAGGAUUGGCGAUGAGAAGAGCUCGACAGUGACGAGAUUCCGUGGGUGACGAAGAAGUUUCCCGGGAAGGGUUGCCGUGGGUGGAAGAUGGCCGAAGGAGUAGUCUCCGUGGUGAUUCGUGGGGAUAGCGAUUGAGCGAUUCACGAGGGGUACGAACUGUUGGAGGUUGUGGACCCUGGGACGAGACGACAGAGCCAGGUUGGUUUGCUAGGACAACUCCUCCGCGAACCUCCAGGGUCCAACUGCUCACAAGCUAAGCCUUCUUUUGCUCACGCACGUGUGCCACUAAUACACGGCCGGCACACCCGCGUAGCUCCCUGCAGGACUGCCGUGCUUGGUUGCAUCGAGGCUCCUCCGAGCUCGUCAUGCCUAACUGCUGCCUUCGCUCCACAACUCCUCCUUCCGACUCGCCUCGCCUAACUCGUAGCCGCAUCACUAUCUGUGGCCUCCGCCGCCCCACGCUGAGCACUCGAUGUGGUCAAACCCUGGAAGAAAACCCUGGAUGUCAUGCUAUUUGCAGACCAGCUGCUAUUAAACCUACGCUGCUGUUUCCGCCUUGACCACCCCGUGCUGCUGCUCCUCUUCCUCCUCAUCUGCUGGACCCGUGUCACCCCGGCCUUGUCGCGCCGCACCUGCACACCGUUGCUCUGCACAACAUCGCAACAUCCGCCCGACAGCGUCUUGCACCCUUGAUGCCUCGCCAGACAGCAGGACCCUCGCGUUCUCAGCACCACGCGCGCCAGCGCGAUUCUCUGCCCACCCGACAACUGCACUGGGCCGCGCCGCUCUGCACGUCCUGCCGGUCCCGUGGCUCGGGCUCACCCACGUCCGCGCCGCCGAUUCCCGAGUCUGUUCCAGUACUUCGGCGCCAUGGCCGUUCACCCGCGUCAACACCCUGCGCACCCCGUCGCCUACUCGCGCGCCUCCGCUCGCGAGCCGCAGCCAGCCACCGUGGUGCCGUCGCUCGCCCGGUCGAACCGCAGCCGCUCCGCGGCUCCACCUGCACCGUCGGCUUCCGCACAUGCUCCGCAUUCGCGCUUGCGCCGCUCCGGCCGAGCCAGCACCGUCUGUGACGCUCUGCUCCUAGGCCCUCCAUGCACACACCUGCCCAGCCCCGCACGCCAGCUCACGCCCGCGGCGCACACCUGUCUCGCUCCUGCGCCGCCCUGCUCAGCCUCCACGCGCCCGCCGUGCACCGGCCCACCUGCGCAUCGCUUGCCUCGGGUCCGCCUGUAGAGCUGCAGCCGCACCGCCGGCCUGCCGCCCGCGCGCCUGGGCCGCAUUGCCUGGGGCCGCCGGCUCCGCGCCGAGCCGCUCGUUGCGCCCUCCGCCGCAGCGCGCCUCCUCCCGUGCUCCCAGCUCCCACGCCCGGGCCGCGCCGAGCGUCCGGCUCUCCAGCUCGCCCGGGCCACCCAGUGCCCGUGCGCCUCCGCCUGGAUCCACAGCCGCCAGCCGCACAGCUCACCUGCUGCCGCAGCUGCUGCACGCACCCAGCCGAGCCCUGCUGCGGCCGCCCGCUGCCUGCUGAGGAAGGGAAAAUAGAGAGAGAGAGAGAGAGAGAGAGAGAGAGAGAGAGAGAGAGAGAGAGAGAGAGAGAGAGAGAGGAAGGAAACAAAGAUGUGUUUGGAUGUUGCUGCCGGUGGGGAAGAAGAUAAGGGCGCCAGGGAUAAGAGAACAGAGGAGAAGGGGAAAAGAGGUUUCCUAGGGACUUAUGCGCGAUUUCAGAAAACUGCAGGGGCUCGUUUGCAAAGCAAAAUUUCCCGUUGAUUUAAAACCCUAAUGAAGAAAUACCCAAAACGAAAGUUGGAGAGUUUUUCAAACUCUACAACAUUGCUUUAGGGCUCAAGUUCAAAAACUUAAAACUUAUAUUUUUACACGUGAAUCUUUGAACAAAGGUCGGAUUUGAAUUGCUUUUGUCCUAAAGAAUGAAACUUUAUAAAAUUCAGGACCUAAAUGCAAGCAUUUAUGACACGUCAUGAUGACGGGAUAGACUCAUCAUAAUGACUGGAUAGACAUGUCAUGAUGACUUGCACUUUUACACUUUCGUCCUGAGUAAAUUUGAAAGUUACUUUUGUAAAUCAAACAUUUGCAUAAAAGGACUUGUACUUUUAUAAAAUCACAUAAAUACCCUUAUUUUUACCACUUUACCCAAAAAAUUUUACACACUUCAACACACACAUUUCAAAUACAACUUUCAAAUAAACAUACAUUUUUACAAGGGAUAACAUAAGAAAACCAUGUUUAUCAAAACCACCUUUCACUUAUUUCGAAAUUACCCUUAUCCACUUACAUUUUGCAAAAACAACAAUAGGUUUUUCUGUAAUUGCAAAAUUACCCCUUUUUACUUGCACUUUAAAUUUUCAAAAACUUCACACAAACACACACCAGCUUUACACUAUCAAACACAUACUUCACACUAACAAUUUAUGGGCCUAGCUUACAAGCACAUGAACUGUCACAGCUGUGACACUCAGGUAAAUAGUAUGGUCACACCCUAGAUCUUUAGUGUGUGGUUAUGUACAAAAUGUAGCAAAAGUGUGUUUAAAAAUGUUAAUGAUAAGCAAAGGUGAUUGUUUGUAUAGUUGUAUUUAAAUCAGGGUCCUUUUGUGCUAAAUGGGUGAGCAAGGAGGGUAGAUUUUGAAAGUAUGAGGGUUAUUUUGUAAAAGUUAAAAACUUAUGUUUAAAAUGCAAAAAUCGGUGAAACUACCUUUUGGAUGUAAAUGUGGUGUAAUUUUAACAUAGGAUUUAUGCAAAGUUUAGAGAUCUUGUUAAAUUUCAAUUUGAUUGCAAUACCUUAGCUCUUUUGUUGAUGAAUCUUAAAGCAAAGUUGUGCAUUAUGAAAAACUACACACUUUUGCUUUUGGGUCCAUCUUCAUUUGAGCAGUGGUGUGAAAGUUGUCCAUGCUUUACAGAAAGGCCCCUGAGUUUUUUGCUUUUCGGAACUGGGUCCUCUAUCUUCCUCCUCGAGUCCCCGAGCCCCUCUGUUUUCCCUGCCGCGCGCGCGUGACCCUGCCGCCGGCCGCCCCCGGGCAUCUGCAGCUCUACGACCCGAUCCACGCGUCGCUCCACCCCUUUCCCCGCCGCCCGUGCUAACCUUGCUGUCCCCUCCUCACUUUGCCACGUAGGGCCACCGAAGCCGAGCGUCCGCCACGAGACCGAGGAAGUUCGCCGGUGCCGCUCACCGUCUUGCGUCCAUAUCCAUAGCCAAUUCCCUUCUUCCUUCCUUACUUGAAGUGAUGCCCUGCCAUAAGGCUACCUUAAACCCCUAUCCUCAGCCCGCUCCCUCCUCUCUUCUUCCUUGCAUCGCCGGAAUCCGCCCGCACUCCUCGCCGGCAUCCACCGCAAUCCCUCCAUCCCGAUCAAAUCCCUUUAGCCUUUUGCUUCCUCACCUCCUCCUCUAGUUCCUCAGCCUGAUCCGGUCCAGUCCUGAGCCGCCUUUCGCCGAAAUCGCGUCCAUCCCAAGCCGCCUCUCGCCGGAGCCGCCCGCGCUCGAUCUCACCGUCGGCAGCUCCCUCCACUUGAUCUCCAGCUCAUCCAGGUGCUUAGCACGACUCCCCACCUCUCACUGGUGCUCAUGCGCGUGCUAAACCCCCAUGUUCGCUGGGCCUUCACCGGGAACGGCGUUGCGCCGCCACGGCCGCCGCACCUCUCCGUCGCCGACCAUGUCCCACUGUUGCCCGUCGAGCACCACCCCUCCCAAACUGUCCCUUGGGUUCCGUAGAUCAUGCCAGGCCAGCUCUCCCCCACCGGUGACCUCACCGCCGGCGAGAACGCGUCGGGGCCGAGUGGCCGGCCGUCGUCAGGGCCUGGCAAGGGCUUUUGUGCAAAUAGAAAUUCUAUUCCAAGGGCCCCAGCGCAAACUUACCAAGACCCCCCCUAUAUGUGUUGUUAUUUUAUGUGAUUGAUGUUGCUGUCUUGCAAAAUUCAUAGAAAAUCACAGAAAUAUCCAAAAAUUGCAAAAUUAGUUUUGUUGGAAACUAGAUUCCAAACCCUACAACUUUUGUUUAUGAAGUUUGAUAUCAAACUAAAUAUUUUUGCAUCUAUUUUAAAUCUAAGUUUAAAGGGUAAUUGGUACAUACAUUUUUGCUUUAUUACUUAUGAAAUUUUAACAUGUAACUUCUAUAAGCUAUGUGUAACCUUGUAUUAAAAUUUCAAACCUAGCUUUGUUUGGUAACUUGACCACUUUUGAAUUGGGCAUUUCAAAUUUGAAAUGUUAGCUAAGCAUGUUCUAUAAACCUAUUUAGUUAAAAUCCUUUGUCAUUCUCUAAUGUAUUAAUGUUUAGUGUAUAAUUAAAUUUCCAAAACUUUAUGAUCCUUUUAACUUAAAGUUUUGAGUUUGAGUUUGGAAUUCAAAUUCAAAUUCAAAUGUUCUAGUUCCUGCUUGCAAUAGAUUCAGUGAUAUCCUUGUCGGGUUUUAUCCGGCUGCCCACCGAGGGGUAUACCCAAGGUGGUAGGUUUUGGGUUGGGAUGCGCCGAGAUCAGGAACUCGAAGGUGCAGACAACACAAGAUUUAGACAGGUUCAGGCCGCAAUGUGCGUAAUGCCCUACGUCCUGUAUGAUGGUUUGUAUUGCCUUGAUGUUGAUCUGGUGAUCUUGGUUUUGAGGGGGUCCCUGCCCGCCCUUAUAUAUCCGGGGGGACAGGGUUACAUAAAUCCUAGUCUGAUACUAACUUAGAAAUCGUACUUAAGUACAACUCGAGUAGUUUCCUUCUAUAUCGACUAGUUCUACUCCGCAUGCGGGUAGAAUACAACAUAAAUAAGGUACAGGACAUGUCCUAUCCCUUAGCCCAAUACGGACUCCUUGACGUACACAGCCCCGUGGCCCCGGGUCUGACAAGCCCCCGAGCUCUUCGUAGCUGAGUACUGCAGGCUCUUCGAGUACUUCUGAAGCAGUCUUUGACUUCUUUCGAAGCUCCGUCUUGAAAUUUUUCUUCAAGUACUCUUCUAACUGCAUCGAAGCUAUGAGGUGCUCAUGCCCCGAAUUCUUUCUUUUAUAUGGGUUGCCAUGAAUAAUCGCACUCCAUAUGGAGUAGCCCCCGAGCCUUAGGUUGAAUCAAAGAAUCAAGCUGAGGGUCAAACUAGCCUUGAAUCUUUCCUUCUUAUCCUUCGAGUACUUUCGAAAAAUAGGUAGUCGAUGCCACGUGUCUCACAGCCCCCGAGCCUUGAAUCCAAAUUUUUUUUGGAAAAAAGGAUCCCAAAGAUCGUGGCAAAAAUGUUCCUUUUGAAAAAAUAAAGUCUAAGAGGAGGCAAUUAGCAGAAAUUAGACUCGAAACCCAAAAAACCUCUUUUUUCAGGACAACUAACCCAGAAAAAAUGGUGAAUCAAGUAAUGGCCCAAAAAAUCUGCCAAAAAACUGCCUGUAUCCAAUUAAUCCCAUUGCACGACGCUUCAUCUUUCACACAGUAAACCACUGCCUGAACGCUGGUUAUUUAACCCCGCGGUCAAUUAGGGUUUUUCCUGUGCCUUCAGAUCUGACGCCGCCACCAGAGAAAAACAAAACCCCAUUUAGAGUUUGACCUGCCUGAGCCCUUCCGCCGCCCAGCGUAGUUGAAAAUCUUCGAGCCCACCACCAUAGCCCCCGAGCGCUGAGCGAACAACUCGUGGCUGAAAAGAGUUGAAAUGGCGCCGAAAAAAACCGACCAGAAGGAUUUGAAAGAAGCACAAGCAGCAAUCGGCGAAUGGUCAAUUAGUAAGUGUUCUCGCCAUAAUCUAGCAAAUUUAGUGUUGGGAGGUCUGCUUCAGGAGAGGGAUCUCAUCAAUUGGCGCCUUCCCUUUCGCGAUCCAUUUCCCAUGGAAAGCGUCGAUGAGAUUGCUUCUUUCUGCUCUUUUUCUGAACGGGGAUUUGCCCUCCACACUUGUUCAUUCUUCCGUGGCCUUCUCUUCUUCUAUGGGAUUGAGCUGCAACAUCUCAACCCCAACUCGAUCUGCCAUAUCUCCAUUUUCAUCCAUUUCUGCGAAGCCUUCCUCGGAAUUGAGCCCCAUUGGGCUCUUUUCCGCUAUCUUUUCCGCGUGAAGCCCCAGCCCACCUCAAAAAAUCCUUCUGCAAUAGGGGGCGCUGGUAUCCAGCUUAGGCAACACGCUAGUGACAAAUAUAUAUCAUACAAAUUUCCUUCAAAUAUCCCCGGGUGGAAACAAUACUGGUUCUACAUUGCGAACCAUGCCCCCCAACUCCCUGUGAAGUCCGGCAGGCCCCCUGUUCAGCGCGGCGAAUGGACAUUGGAGCCAAAUGAAGCCGAGAUGGACCAAGUAAAAGAGCUGCUCGAGUUGAUUGCCGCGCACAAAGAGAUGGGGGUAACCGGGGCAUCAGUGAUGUUAUCAUUUUUCAAACGCCGAGUUCAACCCAUUCAGCAGCGCCAUACCUUAGGAUUCGAGUACAUGGGUAUUGAAGACCCAUCCCGUAUGUGCACAGAAGAGCUUAGGGACGAUGCUGCACUUGUUCGCGUCAAGCGAAUUCUGCUAGAUGUGGAUGCCGUCCCGUAUGUUCCAGCGGGAUUUACAGCCCAGAAUCGACCACCAGCAGUAAGUGUUCGACUUCUCGACUUCUUCCCUCGAUCUGAAGAGUUAAUACUAACUGAUUGUCUUAACACAGGAGUCAACGGCGUUGUAUCGGAAUUACCCGCCGCAACCCGACCUGCCUCGGCCUUAUCACACACUGCCCAGUGCUGCAGCCACAGCACAGAAAGAAAGAAUUGCUGGCAGCGAGUCGACCGCAGGCAGCCGGUCAACCGGGGAGAGGGUGCAAGCCAACAACUCCUCCGGAUCAUCCGUGGAAUGGUCUGACGACGCACCUCUAAUUCCCCGGCGGCGCCGGGAAAUGCGAAAACGCAAAGCCAGCACUGCUGACCUCGCCGGGUAAGUGUUUGUCAAAUUAUAAAGGUGUCGAAUUGUUUUGCUGAAUACUGAUGACAACUCUGUCUUGCAGUCCUUCAUCUUCCUUGCCCAGCUCCCAGCGCCAGAGGGUAGCCGAAAUGCCCCCCACCAGAAAAGAUGCACCAGAAACCAGACCCAUAGAGGUCGAUAAGGCCGACCCGUCAUCUUCUGUCGCAGACGAUGUGACAAUUGCCGUGGCAGGCACAGUGUCGGGGCAGCUCACGCCCUCGACUGAAACAGCACCGCCGCCAGCAAUAGGUGCCGCGGACAUCGCCGUGCCGGAGUGCCAGCCCCCUCGUCCUGUACACCAACUCCUCCAGCCACGAGUACUGUGAUAAAGAAGACGUUGAAGCUGGUGUGGAGGAAGCCGAUAAUGAUCCGAUCCCAGAUGUAAGUAAUGCUUUGGACCCUGCCCUUAGCCAUGUGUAGAAAUCACAGUAAAAGUGUUGUGCUGUUGUCUUAAGCAGGUCGACCGCUGCGGUAGCGCUAGAACUCGAGUUGGCUCCACCAGGCCCCGAGCUUUCGCCUGGGCAACCCAACGCGCUGGAGUCAGCAGAGAGGGCAGAUGUAAUCGUGCUUGACUCACCACUGCCCGAGCUCCAGCACGCGGAACCCGAAGCCCCUGGCAAUGAGCAAGUCGAGGCCGCCACUGCCGUACCCGUCGACGUUGCAGGUAAAUGAUCCCACUGCCUUCUGCCACAAUCGUUGCUAUAUUAACACUUGUCCUUUGCAGAGACCCCGCAGCCGUCAGCCUUGGAGGGUGCGGGUGCUUCUUGCGAGGCAACCGGGUUGCCAACCCCUGGAGGGGAGAACACUGAUAUACUCCAAGAGAUGCACCUCCCAGGGGACGAUCUGAGCCGCCUGCGCCAAAUGAUCAAGGCGAUCGACUCGUUUGCUCUGGUAAAUCUUGUCUAAACCGCUAGUAACUGUAUGCUUAAGUCGCUUGUCUCUGACGCCCAGGAACAUGUAGGACAUGAACCAAAAAACUUCAAUGAAGCUGGAAGAGUCCACCAGGCGUAUCGACGAGCUGAUGCAGGAGCGAGCCGGCUUCGAGCAGACUAUCAUCAAGAUCCAAGGCCGACUCAAGGAGCAGCGGAAAACCCAUCAAGGUACAUUGAAUUUGACUCUCGAAAUCGUACCCGUAGUCGAUAACUUCAUGGUCUGAAACCUGCUUAUCAUGCAGAACUUAAACAACUCUUAAGUUAUAAAGAGGGAUUGCUUACUGAUUUGAAGAACAUGCUGUAUCGCCACGCAGAUGAAGUCGAAGGUCUGCAGAAGAUGAUGGCCGACACGGAGAAGCAAUUCGCCGACUGUCUCCAGCAGAUCAAGACUUUGGGCGAGGAGAAAGAGCAGCGCCAGAAGGAACUUAAUGACUUGAAGACGGCGGCUCAAGAACUCGUAGAGAUGGUGGAUCCGCAGGAAGACGGCGCUGAAGAUGGGCCACCACUACUUGAUCGACUUCGCGGGGUACCACAAAAGAUCCUCAACUUUGUCACCGAAGCGGCCACAUCUUACGUGGGUCAUGCCCUGGGCCUUGUGAAGUCCUUCUGGCCAAAGGCUCGGCUAGAAGUACUCGCGGAGGGUGCAGCUGCUGAGUGCACUGACGAAAACUUCCGCGAGUAUUUGCUAGAGGUCCGACCGAUGGCUGAAAAAAUUGUGGGAGACAUGGUCCAAGGUUGAACCGUUAGUGUACAUGUCUUUGUAAUAUAAGGAACUACCUUUGUUCUCUUGUAGCCUUGUAUGAAGUUUAGGAGCUCCAUCCGCUCUGUAUUAGGGACAUGCGACUUCUGAGUGCAACGACUCAGAAAGUAGUCGAUUUAGCCCUUCGCGAGAGCUUCAUCGGGUGAGCUAGAUAAGAUCCCACCAAAAGGGAUCCACUCGGGCCCGGAACGCGCGGUCUGUGGCGCGACGACUAGGAUGCUCAUGGCAAACAGUCGAAAACUACCCUGAGGUGUAACCACCGCAGGAGUAGCCAAUCAUGCGGACAUGUUAAACAAGUUAGAUAGAACCCGAGCCAGACGGGCCUAACCAGUUUGAAAGAACACGAUUAGCAUCGCGACGACCCAUGUGCCACUGGCAAGUAGUCAAUUUUGUAUAAAAUUUGAGCGUGGCCAAAAGCCGCCACCGUUAUAUUCAAGAAUUUACAUUUCAGGUUGUGUGGCACAAAGCCGCCAAAUCGACCCAGAAAAGUAAAACUUGCCAUUAACGCAUACAGAAAUUGGACACGAGUCUGCUUAGGGGUAGAACUGUUGCAGGUGCUGGAUGUUCCACGAGUUGGGUACAUCCUGACCAUCGGGGUGCCGAAGUCGAUAAGAUCCCGGUCUUGUAACCCUCUUGACGAUGAACGGUCCUUCCCAUCUUGAGUUAAGCUUGUGCAAACCCGAUUCGUCCUGAACGCGACGAAGGACAAGGUCGCCAAUGCUAAAUGACCUUUCCUUAAUGUUGCGAUCAUGAUAUCGCCGGAUUCCCUAUGGGUAACGGGCUGACUAGACGAGAGCAGAGCAGUGAGCCUCUUCAACAGAGUCCAACUCCAGCUGUCGUGCUUCGUCCGCCUCGCCUUCUUUAUACAUCUCAACCCUUGGGGAUUUCCACAUGAUAUCUGCUGGGAGAAUCGCCUCGGAGCCGUAGACAAGAAAGAACGGGGUCUGCCCUGUGGCUUUUGAAGGUUGAGUCCUGAGCCCCCAGACGACAUGUGGCAACUUGUAAAUCCACUUCCUGCCCUUUUUGCUGUUGGCGUCGUAAAGUCUCUUCUUGAGGCCGUCAAUGAUCAAACCAUUCGCCCGCUCGACUUGCCCAUUUGCCCUUGGGUGAGCCACCGAAACAUAUUUGACCUCGAUGGAUGAGUUUUCACAGAAUUCCCAGAAUUGGUUGGCCGUGAAAUUUGAACCCAAGUCAAUGAUAAUAGUGUUGGGGAAGCCGAAAUGAUGUAAGAUGUCAGAGAUGAAGUCGACCACCCUGUCUGGAGUAAGCUUGGCGAUCGGCUUGAACUCGAUCCACUUGGUGAACUUAUCGAUAGCCACCAGAACAUGAGUAAGACCUCCUGGCGCCGUUGUGAAGGGCCCAAUCAUGUCGAGGCUCCAACAAGCGAACGGCCAGGAAGGCGGUAUAGUGAUGAGGGUGUGGGCCAGGACAUGAGUUUGCUUACCGAAGAACUGGCAGUUCUGACAUCGUCGCACCAGAUCUUCAGCGUCGGACACGGCGGUAGGCCACCAGAAACCGGUUCUGUAUGCUUUGCCGACCAGUGACUUUGACGCGGCAUGGUUACCACACACACCCUCGUGUAUCUCCCGCAAUAUGUCCAGACCGUCUUCUGUUGUGACGCACUUCAUGAGUACUCCGGAUCGUGCGCCGCGCCGAUAAAGUUUGCCUUCGACUAGGACAAACCCCUUGCUCCGUCGCAUGAGGCGGGCGGUAGUAGCGCUUUUGGGGUCCAUCCCUGCCGGUAAUACGAGAUCUCGGAUGAAGUCGAUGAAAGGUCCUCUCCAGUCCUCACCGACCAGCAGAACCUCCCAUUCUGGUUGUACAGAGCCAGUGGCGGUGGAAACCGGCGGUGAAGGGCUAAUGGACGGGUGCUUCAGCUCCUGAACGAAUACCCCUGCUGGGACUUGUGCUCGGGUUGAUCCCAGCUUAGAUAAGGCAUCGGCAGCGACAUUGUGUUCCCGCAGCACAUGAUGAACUUCUAGGCCAGAAAAUUUGUUUUCUAGCUUGCGUACUUCUUGUACAUAGGCUUCCAUGGUCUCCUUGUUGCAGUCCCACUCCUUGUUGACUUGCUGAACGACCAAGAGUGAAUCGCCAUAUACAAGUAGUCGCUUUAUUCCUAGUGAUAUCGCCAAACGGAGCCCGUGAAGCAAGGCUUCAUACUCGGCUUCGUUGUUGGAUACCUCCCAGAGAAUUUGGAGGACGUAUUUGAGUUGUUCGCCUCUUGGGGAAAUGAAUAAAACUCCAGCACCACCACCAUCGAGCUUGAGAGAACCAUCGAAGUACAUGGUCCAAUGCUCUGGCUUGUCAACUGGAUUUGGAACUUGAUUUUCCCUCCACUCCGCCAUGAAGUCGACUAGAGCUUGGGACUUGAUUGCAGUGCAUGGCUUGAAGUCGAUCGACAAAGCCCCCAGUUCCACUGCCCAUUUUGAAAUACGACCCGUGGCGUCUUGAUUGUGUAGGAUAUCCACCAACGGGUAGUCUGUGAUCACGGUGAUCUGGUACUCUUCAAAGUAGUGGCGUAAUUUCCUUGAGGUGAUCAGUAUGCCAUAGAGAAGCUUUUGGACCGCCGGGUACUGCAUCUUAGACUCCGAGAGUACUUCACUGACAAAGUACACGGGCCGCUGCACGCCAAAAGCAUGGCCUUCCUCGGAGCGUUCGACAACAAUAGCACUGCUAAUAACGUGGGUAGUUGCCGCAAUGUAAAGCAAAAGGGUCUCACCUGGCAAUGGUGCUGUGAGGAUCGGGGGCGACUGUAGGUGUUGCUUGAGAUCCUGCAGAGCCUGCUCGGCUUCCGCUGUCCAGUGAAACUUGUCUUGGCGCUUUAAGAGUUUUAAAAAAGGUAGUCCUCUCUCCCCGAGCCGGGAGAUGAACCUGUUGAGAGCUGCCAUGCACCCUGUAAGUUUCUGCACAUCUUUGAUCGUGGCAGGUGCCUCCAUAUCAGUGAUGGCGGUAAUCUUUUCAGGGUUGGCCUCGAUGCCCCGGCUACUGACUAUAAACCCGAGCAAUUUGCCUGAUGGAACACCGAAAACGCACUUGGUCGGAUUAAGCUUCCAUCGGUACUUCCUUAAGCUGGCAAAAGUUUCCUCCAGAUCCGUGAUCAGGCCCUCGGGACUCCGGUUUUUCACGACCACGUUGUCCAUGUAGGCCUCCAUGUUCCAGUGUAACUGAUCAGCGAAGCACAUCUGAAUUGCCCGCUGAUAGGUGGCGCCAGCGUUCUUCAACCCGAAGGACAUCGUCUUGUAGGCAUAAGUCCCAAACGGGGUGAUGGACACGGUCUUGAUCUGGUCUUCUUCCUUGAGAGCAAUCUGGUGGUAGCCUAAGUAACAAUCAAGGAAACAUAAUAGUACACAACCUUCGGUCGAGUCAACUACCUGAUCGAUGCGAGGGAGCCCAAAGUGAUCCUUUGGGCAAUGCUUGUUGAGAUCGGUAUAAUCGACACACAUUCUCCAUUCUUUAUUCUUUUUUAAUACAAGGACGGGGUUAGCUACCCACUCUGGGUGGAUCACUUCUUUAAUGAAUCCAGCCACGAGGAGUUUGGCUAGUUCCCGUUUGAUAGCCUCCCGUUUAUCAGGGGCAAACCGGCGAAGUCGUUGCUUCUUUGGUACAGCUUGUGGGUACACGUUGAGACUAUGCUCGAUCAGCUCCUUAGGCACCCCUGGCAUAUCCGAUGGCUUCCAUGCGAAUAUAUCUCGGUUAGCCCGCAGGAAGUUGACGAGCUCGAGUUCCUAUUUGUCACCCAAGCCCGCGCCGAUGAUGGCUGUCUUGGAUGAGUCGCCUUCUUGGAGCUGGAUCGUCUUGAGAGCCAUCUCGCCCGUCGACUUGAUGCCCGAUUGGCUCGCCUUCUUCAUCGGGAUGUCUAGCUUGGCUUGAGAGAGUUGCUGUGCGGCCGCGAGUACUUCAGCGGAAGCAUCUGGCACGCGGGAAGUCGAUGCAUACUGGAUGGCCUCUUGAUUGCAAUCAUAAGACUUCUUCAAGUCGCCUCGGAGCGUGAGCACACCACUGCGUCCUGGCAUCUUGAGAAGCAAGUAGACAUAAUGCGGCACCGCCAUGAACUUAGCGAGUGCCGGCCUCCCCAGUAUAGCGUGGUAGGAAGAUUCGAAGUUGGCCACCUCGAACUUGAUGAACUCGGUUCGGUAGUUCUCCCUCAUCCCGAAAGUGACUGGGAGAACGACUGUUCCAAGCGGAUGCGCGGCAUUGCCAGGGACAAUACCGUAAAAAGGAGCUUUGCUCGGAGUGAGCUUGUUGGUAAGGUCCAGACCCAUCUUCUUCAGCGUACUGGCGAAGAUAAGAUUGAGUCCGCUCCCACCAUCGAUAAGAACCCGAGUAAGCUUGACCUCUGCGACCACAGGAUCCAGCACCAGUGGGAACUUCCCAGGCUUGGAAAAACUGGUCCAUUGAUCAUCACGGGAAAAUGAUAUGGGGACCUCUGACCAUCGGAGUGGUCGUGGUACCGCCGGUUCAACUGAUAGAAUCUCCCGUAGCAGCAAUUUCUGUUCCCGCUUGGAGCAAAAAUCUUCAUCACCGCCAAAGAUGACGUUGAUAGUCUUGGAGGCAUCCUGGAAUUUGGGCGUCUCAGAUUUGUCAUCCUGUUCCUCGUCUUCGGGCCCUUUGCCCAUCGACUUGUUCUUCUUGCCGUUUCCAGGAGAGCCAAAGGUGCGCUUGAGCUGAAAACAGUCGAUCGCUGCGUGUUUGGAGUUGACACACCACGAGCACUUCUUCUGCAGGAGUUUUUCAAACUGCUCCUGCAUGGUCCACUUCUUGCCCCUCAAAGGACAGUCCACAGCCGCGAUGAGAUCGUCUGGCUUGCAUUUUCGGGAAGAACCCGAAAAGUCCCGCUGGCCUUUGUCAGCCCGGUUGUCGUUGUUGCGCUUCUGGUUGAGGUCGGUGCGUCUUGGAAACCUCUCGCGCAUCUUUUCUUCUUGUUCAGACCAGUCGUGCAUCAUGUCGCGUAGACCUGCAACCGUCUUCAGCCUGUUACGCCCAAAAUCACGAUAUAUACCUGGGUCUGUGAGGCUGUUGUAGAAGCAGUCAAUAAUGUCCUCUUCCGAGAUGUUGGCGAUGGUGGCCUGCACAUCGAAAAAAUGGCGGUGUAGGAUCGGAGGAGUUCAUUGCGCUCUUGCUGGGCGAGGUCGUGGCGGGUUCCUGCUCGGGAUAUCGCCCCUGGAAGUUGUCGAUGAAGACCUUCUUGAGGCCUUCCCAGGAGUCGAUGGAGUCGCUGGGGAGGCUUUCCAGCCAAGUCAACGGUGCAGGCUCCAAAGCCAUCGGAAAGUAGACGACUUUGGUAGUGUUGGAGCCGCCAGCCACCUCAAUGGCAGUAGAGUAACAGCGGAGCUAUUGUUGGGGGGCCUGCUUGCCGUCGUACUUGGUAAUGCCAAUUGGCUUAAAACCCUCCGGGUACUUGUAGUUGUUGAAUCUCGCAAUGAACCCAGGGAAACGAUCGCUGCAGUCAGCAUCGUCUCGCUCAGCUACCUCGCGUUCCCGUCGCCUCGAGUCGAGGACUGACCGGGCAUCGCGCCCCUCAUUGAUCUUCUGGCGAAGAUCAGGUUGUUGACAUGGAGGGUUGGGCUGCCUCAGGUUGUUUGCCGGAGGUGGCUGCCGCCUCCCACCGGUGAGCUGGCUUCCACCCACGCCAUCAUUGUUGUUGCUGCGUUGGGGUCGCGGGCGAUUACCUGUUGUUCGACUUGGGGCCUGGCUUCGGCUGUCUUCGACGUGCUCGUCCCUAACAAGCGAUGCCGGAGCCUGCAGGUCCAACUGGACCCACGCCCGUUGGGCGUAGAUGAGUGCUUGUCGGACGUUAGGGUCGUUGCUUCGCUCGAGUAAUGCUGUUACCCAAGCAAUAUUGGCCACAGGAGUCCUGAAGCCACGUUCAUCUGCCGCGGCGAAUUCGGUGUCGAGUUCGCGCUGUGCAGAACGUAUGCGCUCGUUGGCUCGACUUCUGCGAACCGCACGAGCUCUGUUCCUUGCCCAUCGCGCGUCGCGCUCGGCGUCGUUCUCGUUCUCGGCUUCAGCGGUGUCUUCAUCUUCUGAUAUGCCAUCAAGUGCGCCAAUGGGGAUGAGGGCAUCAUCGCCCCCCUCUUUCGCCAUCAGGACUUGGCGAGUUGCGAGUUCUUCAGAGGGGGCUUCGACUAGCUAAGUCGAGCCCUCGGUUAUGGUAGCCAACGCCCUGCCCUCCUGAAAAGGCAAAGGCUCAAGGUGGGCUACCAAGCGGUCUUCAUGUCCGAGUAGAUCGGACAGAUUCAUCCCCCUCCAAUGAACAAUUCGUCCUUCGGAGGUGGUGGUGAUCAUCAGCCCACAAGUGGCCAGGUGAUCCUCAGCCCCCGACAUGCGGUGGCCUCAGAACCUCCAGCCUGGAGCAAAGAGUCCAGGUCCUUUUCCAAUGUGGAAAAAGGAACAGUAGAGACAGACUCUGCCUCGGUUUCCCUAGCAGAGUCAAAAAAAGGCAACUCGUCGAGACUAUCGACAAAGUCAUUGAGCCUUGCGGCAAGUGUUUUUAGCUUGAAGGUGUCAUUGAUGAUGUGCCGACGGAAACCGCCUGCACCGCUGGCAACACAGACCCACGAGCCAAAAACAAAGGUUGUGCCCUCAGGGAGCACGGGACUGGGAACUUGAAAAGAGCCAUCGAGUUCUCCAGCGGAUCUCUAAUGCGCACCCCUACCUGGCGCGCCAGCUGUCGAGUUUUAUCCGGCUGCCCACCGAGGGGUAUACCCAAGGUGGUAGGUUUUGGGUUGGGAUGCGUCGAGAUCAGGAACUCGAAGGUGCAGACAACACAAGAUUUAGACAGGUUCAGGCCGCAAUGUGCGUAAUGCCCUACGUCCUGUAUGAUGGUUUGUAUUGCCUUGAUGUUGAUCUGGUGAUCUUGGUUUUGAGGGGGUCCCUGCCCGCCCUUAUAUAUCCGGGGGGACAGGGUUACAUGAAUCCUAGUCUGAUACUAACUUAGAAAUCGUACUUAAGUACAACUCGAGUAGUUUCCUUCUAUAUCGACUAGUUCUACUCCGCAUGCGGGUAGAAUACAACAUAAAUAAGGUACAGGACAUGUCCUAUCCCUUAGCCCAAUACGGACUCCUUGACGUACACGACCUCGUGGCCCCGGGUCUGACAAUCCUCAUGACUCCUUUAUAAAUGGUGAUUCAAACCUAAACCCUUUUUAUUUCAUGAACUCUUGUGUGUUGACUUGGUGAAUUGCAACUUUUGCGAUAUAAGAUCUUAAAUUUGAACCUCAACUUACUUAAAUUAUUGCAUCUCAUAUAGAAUCAACGACGCUCGACGACGGAGAUUACGAAUUGGUCUUAGAACAAGACCAACGGUUUUCUGAAGACCCAACACAAGCCGUCAAGGAACUAAUUGAAGCCUCGAACCAAAGUUCAAAAGUCUCUGACACUCCUGUCCCCAAUCCCACUCAAGAAGGCAAGCCCCGAUGCAUAUUCCAGUAUUUCAAAUUAUUGCCAUUUCACUUAUGUAUUAUAUAUCUUGCAUUAUGUCUAGGAGUUGCAAUGACACCCUAGUUGCAUGAUAUCUCAGGAAACCAAUGUAUUAUACCCGAGUCCUUAUCGCUUAAAUGCUCUGCUAAACAGGACCGGUAAAAGUCGAGUGAUUUCCUGUCACUCGCGCAAUAUAGGAGUUGCUUGUUUAUAAUUCUGCAACCACUAUAAGGACGAUGGACAGGGUCAUGUGCUGCAUCAUGACCUGAAGAUUACCCUAUCUGUUUUGAUAAAAGCUUUAAGGUCGAAAUGUGUGGUAGUGAUGGCUAAGCGUUUGAAAGUACUAACCACAUACCGCGAAAUAUGGUAAGCGGUAAGCCUAGUAACCAAUCGGCCCGGCAAGUGGGCAUACCUCCCACCACUCGAUUAAUUUGGUUUUUCUCACGCACCGACCUGUGGGAGUACGUUCUGCAUGGCAGACAGGAAUACGGGUUUUGUAGUCGCGCUACAGAUGUAUGUCCUGCACAAUUGGUGUGCGUACGGUCUUGCAAGUUGCUUGUGGUGGCCUGCCCACGAUCCGGAAUGAAAGGCAAACGGUUGCUUCGGAACAACUUGUGGAUGUUCCAAGCGUGUGUGUUAGGUUCACCUUGCAAGGUUAAAUUCGAUUCAGAAUCGUCCACCUCUCACGAGGAUUGAGACUGCUUAUUCCUUCUGCCACAUCGAGUAAAAAGUGUGAUUAUCUAUGGAAUGAUUUUGAUGGAUGAUAAUAUCUACCUUGCUUGCUUAGUAUAAGUGCUUACCUAGAUGUCUAAUCAAACUAGAAUCUGGAAGCUAAAACUUGAAAGUAAGUUAUACUCUUAGUUGCUUUUUAGCUAAAAAUAACCCAGAACCCUCGCAAUACCUUCAUGAGUCUAGUUACGGGCUAAAGUAUACCUAAACUCGGGUAAGCCUUGCUGAGUAUUAGAAUACUCAGCCUUGCUAGUAUCUAUUUCAGGUAUAACCUUCGAGAAUCCCACGGACAACCCUGUAUGGCCAACGUCCGUUCCUUUUGGCUGGUCCGUGGAGUGGGACCCGUCCCCGGCUGGCAGUGACCCUCCUGAAUGACACCAGGCCUUGGGCUGAGCAUGGUGUCCACUUUCGUGACGUGUGUAGUCGCGUAAUCUUUUCUUUCCGCUGUGAGUUUGGACAAGCCAUUCUGCUUGUCAGUUUGAACACUGUUUGUAUAAGUUUACUUAUAUUUGAACCUGGUUUGUAAUAAUUGUGACACUCAGGUAAUUAGCUUGGUCACACCUUAGAGUUUGGGUAUGCUUUUAUGCCCAAAGUAUGGCAAAUGUGUGUUUUAUGUAUGUAAUGUUAUGGAAAAAGUGAUGUUUACGUAAUUAAAUUUAACUAAAGGUCCUUUUAUGCAAAAUGGGUGGAGAUGGGGGAAAAGUUUAAAAGCAUAAGGGUUAGUUUGCAAAAAGUGAUAUCUGUGGUUAAAUUGCAAAAAUAUAUGAAAUUACCCUUGGGUAUAUAUGUAAAAGUAAUUUUACCCAUGGGAUUUACAUAAAAUGGGAAGAUUUUACUAAGUCUAUUUAAUUUCCAAAACUAUUGCUCAAAUGUAGAUGAACCUUAAAGAGAAGUUGUAGAGUUUUAAAAACCAUGCACUUUUGCUUUUUGGACCAACUUCAUUUGAGCACUGGUUUAAAAGUUGUAAGUCCUUUACAGUCAAGUCCCCCCCCCCGGCCGCCGCAUUGCGCCCUUCUGCGCCCCGCUCCACGUGUCGAGCUCCUCCUCCUCCCACCGCCCUUGGUGCCCGCGCUGGCCAUCUCCCCUCCCUCCAUGUCGGGCAGAGGCCCCGAACGGCCGCCACGCCGCUCUGGCCGACCCGCCGGCGCCUCUGUCACCGCCGCGUCUCGUUCAUCUCCCCGGUAGCAACCCCAAACCCGAGCUCAGCUUGCCGUGCUCCCCUUUCCCGCUCCGUUUGCCUAUAAAAGGGGGCUCCAGACCCUCCCCGCGCGCAUACAGAGCUUGCCGCCUCCAUUGACGCCGCCAUGAGCUCGGUCGCCGUGGAACUCUCCCCUCCACUCUUUUCCUUCCCAAACCGACUGCACCAGCAGCUCCCCCGUGCCCCACUGCAGCCUCCCAGCCCGGCCCUUCCCUCCUUCGCGCGCCGGAACCCCACCGCCGCCGUGCGCCUCCGGCCGCCGGCUCGGCCUCCCGUGGGCAGCACAACUCCGGCCGCCUCGAGUCUCUCCAAGACCACCAAUAGGUAGCCCGAAGUCCCCUCGUGCUUCCCCUCCCUUUCCCCCUCGCCGCCGGCGAUCCCCACGGCCGGAAUUUGGCCGGACCCGAGCUCCUCCCCGCCGGCCAUGGCCCCUGGACCUGAUUGCUCUAUGUGUUUUCUUUCCAGGGGGUUGUUUGUAAAGCUCAGGGACUAGUUUGUAAAGGAUGCCUGUUAUUUCAUGUGAAAGCAUUUUCUGCCUUGUAAAAUUCGUAGUAAUUCACAGAAAAAUCCAAAAAUGGCAAAACUAGUUUUGUUAAAAACUAGAUUUCAAACUCUAUGACUUUUGUUAAUAGAGUUUAGUUUGAAACAAAAUAUUUCUACCUGUAUUUUAAAUCUAAGAUUAAGGGGUAAUAUACACUUAACUUUGACAUUUCAUGCUUGGUUGCUUAUGAAGUUUGGCAUAAAUAUUCUAUGAGCUCUAGAUAACUUUGUGCAAAGUUACAAACUUAACUUUGAUUUAAACUUAACCUCUUUUAGUUUGAAACUUUCAAGUUUGAAAUAAACCUAAUGUAUAGCCUUCUCUAAUUGGAAUCUUUUAUCAUUUACUAAUGUAAUAUUUUAUAAUGUUUAAUAUAUAACCAAAUCUCUAUAAUCUUUUAUUUAAAAGUUUUGAAUUCAAAUUUUGGGUCAUUUCAAUUUUAAUUUGAAUGUUUUAGUUCUUAUUGCAAUAAACUCCACCAUAUCUUUAUAAAUAGUGUUUCAAAUCUAAACCCUCUUUAUUUUAUGCAUGUUUGUGUGUUAGUUGGAUGAGUUACAAUAUUUGAAAUGUGAAAUUUUAAAUUUAAAUUUCACCUUAUUUAAUUUAUUGCAUAUCAUAUAGAAUUAACGACACUCGACGACGGGGACUACGAAUUGGUCUUAGGACAAGACCAAGGCUUCCCAGAAGACCCAACCCAAAUCGUCGAGGGACUAACUGAAGCUCCGAACCCGAGUUCGGAAGCCUCUGACUCUCCUGCCCCCACCCCCACUCAAGAAGGCAAGCCCCGGACAUAUCCCACUACUUUAUUUACACUGCAAUCUAUGUCUAUCUAUAUUAUAUCUUGCAUUAAGUCUAGGAAUUGAAGUGAAACCCUAGAUGCAUGAAUCCUAGGAAUCCAAUGUAAUGCUCCCGAGUCCUUAUCGGUUAGAUGCUUCGCUAAUAGGACCGGUAGAAGUCGGGUGAUUUCCUGUCACUCGCGCGAUAUAGGAGUUGCAUGAUUACAUUUCUGCAACCACUAUAAGGAUGACGGACAGGGUCAUGUGCUGUAUCAUGACCUGGAAGUUUACCCUGUCUGUUUUGAUAAAAGCUUUAAGGUCAAAAUGUGUGGUAGUGGUGGCUAAGUUUUUGAAAGUACUAGCCACAUGCCGUGAAAUAUGGUAAGCGGUAAGCCUAGUAACCAAUCGGCCCGGUAAGUGGACAUACUCCCACCACUCGAUCUCUAUGUUAUGUUCACACGCACCGACCUGUGGGAGUACGUUCUGCAUGGCAGACAGGAAUACGGGUUUUGUAGUCGCGCUACAGACGUAUGUCCUGCACACAUAGGGUGUGCGUACGGUCCUGCAAGUCGCUUGUGGUGGCCUGUCCAUGAGUCGGAAUGAAAGGUAAACGGUUGCUUCGGAAUGAUCAUUGGAUGUUCCAAGCGUGUGUGUUAGGUUUACCUUGCAAGGUUAAAUUCGAUUCGAAUCGUUCGCCUCUCACGAGGAUUGAGAUUGCUUAUCCCUUUUACCACAUUGAGUAAGAAGUGGAACUAAUGAUGGAUAAUCUUGAUGGAUGAUAAUCACUACCUUGCUUGCUUAGUGUAGGUGCUAAUCUAGAAUAAAUACUCAACUAGAAGAUGAAAGCUAAAACUUGAAAGUAGUUCAUACUCUUUGUUGCUUUUCAGCUGAAAAUAAACCCAGAGCCUUUGCAAGGCCUUCAUGAGUCUAGUUACGGGCUAAAGUAUACCCAAACCCGGGUAAGCCUUGCUGAGUAUUAGAAUACUCAGCCUUGCCAAUAUCUGUUUCAGGUAUAACCUACGAGAAUCCCACGGACAACCUUGUGUGGCCAACGUCCAUUCCGUUUGGCUGGUCCGUGGAGUGGGACCCAUCCCCGGCCGGCACUGACCCUCCGGAGUGACAUCAGGCCCUGGGCUAAGCUUGAUGUUCGCCUUCGCGACGAAUGUAGUCGCGUAAAACUUUUUCUUCCGUUGUGAGUUGGACAAGCUGUUAUGCUUGUUGGUUAAACAUGGUUUGUAUAGGUUCACUUAUCUUUAAACUCAGUUUGUAAUAAUGUAUAUAUGGCUGUAAAUUAAAAGUUGAUGAGCUAUUCUGUGAUGUGAACUCGCCUUCGUGCGAGGUAAACCUGCUUCGAUCCUGCUGAACCGUGGUUGUAUCGGGCGGAGACCCGACAGACCAAAGGAUUGUUCCGUUUGAAGUGCGUUGGUCUGAUUGCGAUUGUACGGCGAUCAAUAGCGCACUUGAGCCGGAAUAAUUCGAGCGGUUCUGCCACAAUAAUGUUUGAAUGACUGUAAAUUAAAAGUUGAUGAGCUAUUCUGUGAUUGUAAACUCGCCUUCGUGCGAGGUAAACCUGCUUCGAUCCUAUGGAACCGUGGUUGUAUCGGGCAGAGACCCGACAGACCAAUGGAUUGUUCCGUUUGAAGUGCGUUGAGUUAAUGCCAGCUAUAUAGCAAUCAUUAGCGCACUUGAGCCGGAAUAAUUCAGGCGGUUCUGCCACACAUGGCUCUCUCGGUGAUGAUAGCCAUGUUCAUUAGUGUGUUGAAGUCUGGGUAGAUGCAUGGGGAAAGCAGCUUCUUAAGUUCUGCAUCCAAACCCUUUCUGAACAUAUCCUGCUUCUUUUCAUCCUUGUUUACUUCCUCCGGUGCAUAGCGAGCUAGUUCUAUGAACUGAUAUGUGUACUCCUCAACGGACUUGUUGCCUUGUCGCAGCUCACGAAACUUAUCUGCCUUGCGCUUUAUGGCGGCUGCUGGGAUGUGAUAGCAACGGAACUCAUCCACAAAUUCCUUCCAAGUGAUAGUGGAGGCAUCCUGAGCAGCUGCACAGUAGUUCUCCCACAAAGCCAAAGCAGUUCCAGUGAACUGGUGAGCAGCCAAACGGACCUUGUCAUAGUCUCCAUGCUCAAAUGGCUUGAGUUUUCUCUUGAUAACACACAUACAUGCAAACAAGGGCAAAAGAUAAGAAACAGUACAACAAUACAGUAAAAUAGCACACAAAACUAAGCUAAAGCUAUUCUAUGCGUUACAACGAUCGCGUGAGCGUGAAAACCAACUAAAAUGGAGCUAAGACGCGAAAACUAGGGUUGAAACAAGGUUCAUGGGCUUUUCUGCGAGAAAACAGAGCUUCCAGGGGGUUCUGGGCAAAAACCAGGGACCUAAACAUAAUUAAAGGUUAGAUGCAGGGUCUAAUAUGCAAAACUAUAGGGACUGGACUACAGGUUCUAUUUCCAAGGAGCUCAAGGGCCUAAACAAUAAAAAUAGGACUUAACUGGAAUUACUUUUGAACUGAGGUGGACUACGGGUUGACUCCAGGAGAGUCCAGGGGCUCUUUAGCAAAAAGACCAGGCCGAAGGGGUAUCCUUAAAUCUGGAUCAUCGGAUUCAAAAUGGGCGGCUCAGAUCUAAAGAGAGGGCGAACCGGUAUCUUCUAUUCCGGGCCAUCGGAUCUGGAUCUAAUGGCUCGGACCUAACCUGAUCUGGAUCUAUCGUAGGCAUUCACUUCGGAUCGGACGGUUCAGGAUGGAUCGGGCUACGGGGUGGCAGUGCUGGUCGCCGGUGACCAUCUUCCGUGGUGGCGCGCAACUCGGGCUCAUCGGACUUCGCCAUAAAUGCCGCUCCGGGGGUCAAAUCGACCGGGCUUUGGGUCGGGCAUGUUCAGCGCGUCACGCGUGAUCCACCGGGGCUAAGGCGGGCCUCGGGAGGCGCUCUAGCUGCGGUUGCGAUGGCGAAAGCGGGUCGGCACGGUAGUGCUUCGCCGGCAUGCGCAUUCCGGCUACAGGAGCGGGCUUGGGUCUACGACAUCUAGCGCAAGACGACCAGGGGAUGAUGUGGUGCUCACCGAGGGCUUGAACGGUCCGGAGAAGCAGCGCAGGCUGGCCGGCGACGAGGGCCGAGCGGCGGGGACGGGCAGCGCUCAUGGGGAGGACUGAUGCAGGCGUCUCCGGGCUUUUGGUCCCCGUGGGUCGACUCAUGGAGAUCCUGUGAAGGUCCUACGGGUGUUAGGGAGGUCUGGGGAUCACCGGCAGCGAGGAAUCGCAAGGGCAGAGCAGGACAUCGGCGGCGGUCCUCGGGCUCGAUUCCGGCGCAGGCAGGGCUCAGGGUUGAGGGUGGAAGCCUCGAGGAGCUUCCUAGCGGGACGGCGAAGCUGCUGCAAGCCUUGGCCGAAGCUGGGAUGCACCGGAGCGGCCGACCCACGACAGAGCAGAGGUGCUGCACGGCGGAGCAAGCGGGCGGUGGCGCUAGGGCUUCGGUGGCGGCUGCAGCGGCGAGGGUAGGGGGUAGAGGGGGUUGGGGAUCCUAUUUGUAGGGCGGCGGGGCACCCUUGUCAUGCGGGGCCGGCGCAAGAGCCUCACUGGAGAUCUCGGGCGGCGUUGCGCAUCGGGGAAGAAAGGGAGAAGGGGGAGGACGGAGAAGCUGACGGGUGGGAUAGGCUGCCAGACAGAGAGAAGGGAGGAGGCGCGGCUCGGGCUGGCGCUGAGGGAGCUGGGCCGGGGUGGCUGUUGGCCCGCUGGGAAAAGAGAGAAAAGGGAAAGAGGGAAGUGGGCCGCGCGGGGAAGGAAGCCGGCCCAAGAGGAAGGAGGAAGGGAUGGGCUGCGGGUUAGGAGAGAGGGAAAGAGGGAUGGGCUGCCGGGCUGGGCUGAUUUCUUUUCCCUAAUCUCCUUCUCUUUUCUUUUUCAAACUAACUCAAUUCUAUUUGAAUUCAAAUGAGAUUUGAAUUCAAACUUAACCAUUCAAACAAACAAAAGAGAUGCACCAGCAUGAAUGCACAAACAUGUUGAACCUAAAAUAAAUUUUAAUUACUUGUGGUAUAAAAUUAAUUUAAAUGCAAGAUAAAUCAAGAAAAACCUUAGAAACUUUAUUUAAGCCAAAAUAAAUUCAUUAAAAAUUAGGAAAUUUAUAUUAGGGUGUUACAAACCUACCCCCCUUACAGGAAUCUCGUCCCGAGAUUCGAAUAGGCUAGCUAGCAAAGAGAUCGGGAUAUGUCUUCCUCAGCUCAUCUUCUCGCUCCCAGGUAGCCUCGUCCUCUGUGUGAUGACUCCACUGAGCACGGCACAUCUUGAUCUUUUUGUUCCUAGUAACUCUCUCAGAUGUCUCCAGAAUCUUCACCGGAUGCUCAGUGUAGGUCAGAUCCUCCUGUACCUCUAACCCUUCCAGCGGUGCUUGCUCUUCUGGCACCCUCAAGCACUUCUUCAGCUGGGAGACAUGGAACACAUCAUGCACUCCUGAGAGGUUGGCAGGUAACUCCAGACGGUAUGCUACCUCACCUUUCCGUUCCAAAACCCUGAACAAACCAUGUAUCGAGGGGCUAGCUUCCCUCUCACAUUAAACCUGUGGAUUCCCCGCAUCGGCGAGACCUUCAGAUACACAUGAUCAUCCACCGCAAAGGUCAGAUCUCGUCGACGAACAUCCGCAUAGCUCUUUUGACAAGUCUGAGCGACCCUCAGAUUCUCUCAUACCUGCUGCACCAACUGUUCUGCCUCCUCAACAAUAUCCGGACCGAACACCUGCCUCUCACCAAUUUGAUCCCAAUACAGCGGAGUUCUGCACUUCCGACCAUACAGGGCCUCAAAAGGAGAUUUCUUUAGACUGGCCUGGUAGUUGUUUUUGUAUGAAAACUCUGCAAACGGCAGGCAUUUAUCCCAGCAGGUGCCAUACUGAAUAGCGCAGGCGCGAAGCAUAUCCUCCAACACUUGGUUGGUUCUCUCUGUCUGCCCAUCUAUCUGAGGAUGAUAGGCGGUACUGAAGCGUAGCUUCGUAUCCAACGAAUCAUGCAACUGCUCCCAGAACCGUGAAGUGAACUGAGAUUCUCGGUCAGAUAUGAUCUUCUUUGGAACACCAUGCAGACAGACGAUCCUGGAGAUGUACAACUCUGCGAGUCUGGCACUAGAGUAAGUAGUGUUCACCGGGACGAAGUGGGCAACCUUCGUCAACCGAUCCACUACUACCCAUAUGGAGUUGUACCCUUUCUGAGUACGAGGCAAUCCAACGAUGAAGUCCAUAGUGAUCUCCUCCCAUUUCCACUCUAGAAUCUUCAAUGGCUGCAAUAGACCUGCUGGCCUUUGAUGCUCUGCCUUGACACGCUGACAAGUGUCACAGAUAGCCACGUACUCUGCAACGGAACGCUUCAUCCCAUACCACCAGAAUCGUCCCUUGAGGUCGUAAUACAUCUUCGUGCUGCCCGGAUGAAUGGAAUACGUUGUAUCAUAAGCCUCACUCAAGAUCAGCUUCCUGAGAUCCUCUACAUCUGGCACACAUAUCCGGCCCUUGUACCACAAGAUACCCUGAUCAUCCUCUCUGAAAUGAGGUGCCUUGCCAAUCUUGAGCAGUUCACAGAUCUCCUGCAGCUUCUUAUCUUCUUUCUAAUGCUAGGCAAGAUGGUCAUAACUCACACAGAUUGUAUUCCUUUUCCAUGAUCUCCCGUUGCUCACCAGCUCUCCUUUUGGCUAGCAGAACAACUAGUGGGGUUUAUGCUAAGCCGUUGCCCACACAACGGUUGAGUGGUUGUACGAUAAGUGGGUUAGGCAAGAUGACACCUCAGUUCAUCCUUACAUUGACAAGACGGUCAUAUCCCAACCAUGCUCAACCACAAAGGUACAAGCUCACCCAUGGCAUUUCACACAGGAAACACCAUCCAUCUCAUCAAAUUAUAUCCUUCUUUUAUUUUCCCGAAACCCCAUUUUACCUAUUAUAACACUCACACCUUUAUUUUCGAUAAAGCGCGUUGUGGUCAUGAUUAAAAUAUAAUAAAGGAAAUAAAAGGUCCUAAGCAUCUCUAGCAGUAGUUAACAUUCAGCAGAGCAAACCCUAUGUAGACAUUAAUCUAGGUCAUCAAGGAAUCGUCAUAGCAAUCAAGGGGUGGCUAUACAACCAUAUCUUAAAACAAUGCAUUUUAUAAAAUAGGCCAAUAGGUUGUGUUCAUAAAACUAGGAUAAAUAUGCAUCAAAGGAUGGGAUUGGACUUGCCGUCCUCAAAGCCUUCCGGAAGCUCCUCCUCGAGGUACGGGUCUUCGGGCUCCGGCUCACGGUCCUGCUCCUCCUCGGUCACACCGUCGGCUAUGACACACAAACAAUCACACAAUAAAAACAAAGUUCACUGACAAGCUUAAAAAAAAGAGGGAAAUAGAGAGCUUCGAUUAAAAAAUAGAGAAAACUAUUAUAUUUGUCGGAUGUGGAUCCUGAGACUUGGAGAGAAUAUUUGAUGCGUGGUGGGGUUUGGAAUCGAUUCGGAAUAAAAUGUCGCAUGAACUGAUGAGUUAAAGGUCAUUUAGGGAGUAGUUUAAAAGGGCGAGGACCUAUUUGUAACGAAAUAAAGAGAUAGAAGGAGCUCUGGUUAAAUAUUUGGUAGAGGGAGGUGGAGGGCUGCGGACUGCAUAAGGAGGAAAAGUGGAGGGGGUUAUGCACAAGUCUGCCUUUCUUCUUCCUCGAGACAGAACAGGAGGGGGAGGGGAACGUAGGAGGGGGGGUGGCCAGGCCAUGGGCGCUGGCCCCCUGGUGCAUGGCAACGCCCGGGGAGGAGGGGAAAACGGAGAGAAGGCCGAGGGGGUUCGAUUCCGGCCCUCACCUCGUGCGGAGACGGUCUACGGAGGGUGUCCACGGAGAUGGGUGGUGGCCGGCAAUGGUGAGCAGCGGCGGCGAGCUGCAGCGCGAGGUAGAGGAGGGGAGGUGCUAGGGCGGUGUGGGCGGAGUGAGGGGCGGCUCUGGGGGUGAUUUAUAGGCCGGGAGAGAGAGGGGAGAUGGCCGGCAUGGGAGGGUCACGGGUAGUAUAGGAACCUCACCAUUAAUGGCGGCCGGGAUGUUCGGGGACAAGGCACAAGCUGCGAGGGCGAGGGGACGGGACUGAAAGGAUCUAACAAGUGGCCUAGAGGGGGGGUGAAUAUGUCUUUUUCUGAAAUCAACAAACUUCACAGAACUGUCAGACCAUGGAGCCUCCGGGCCAGAGCGCGGAGCCUCCGGGGGCGCGGAACCUCCGGGCUUAUGCCUGGAGCCUCCGGGAAACAGAGUUACAAAUCGAUCUACUGCGGAAUUUAAUGAAUGAAAAAUAGAUCGAAUGUGAUACCAAGGUUCCUAGGAAGUAUGUCGAUCUUUCUAACCAGCAAGUUGCACCAAGAUGAUAGAAGCUUCGUAGAUUGAAUGCAAACCCUAAAAACAAGUGAAGAACAAGUAAUAACAAGAACAAUCUCAAGCACAAGUGAUGCAGGGAUUUUUCCCGUGGUUCGGCUCGCCACCAAGGCUGACCUACGUCCACGUUGUUGCGGCACGCCACAAAGGCUGCUGAGUCUCUUUCAACUUGACCCUCUUCUCAAACCUAUCACCAAAGCAAUAGACCGAGAGUUCCACUAAAACAUAGGGUAAUACAAACUUCCCGGUGCUCAAUCACAACGAGCUGGGAGCUACCGGGCAACCUCUAGCCAACUAGGAGCAAAGCUCCAAGAGUAAAAGACACACCAAGCAGCUAGGGCUUCUCCAAGUGCACGAGAAUGGAGGAGCACGAUCUUCUUGAGCUUUCUCACGGUCUCACAAGCUUAAUCCCUCAAGGAAUCACUGAGAUUGGAGUUUAGGAGCUUGGGAGCUAUGGAGUUGAGAGAGAGCUUCUGUUUUUCGCGAGUCUGGAGGUUGACGAAAGAAGAUGACCGUUGGGGGCGACGGUGGAGAGGUUUUUAUACCUCCCGUCACCCACAUAACGGUCGGGUCAUUGCAAACCCCGGAACCUCCGCGGUCAACUGCGGAGCCUCCGCGCUUGCUAGAACAGAAAUGAGUUGAGCUUUGCUGGCAAUUUGUGGCUGGAAAAUUUGGUAUGUGGAAGAUGUUUUGUGCACUUGGUUCCAUCCCUAACCACCAUUAGUAUCCCCCUUGAUAGUACUGCUUGUCCUAACUCAAAUUCAAAAUAGAAAAUGAAGUAAACUAGAACUUGAGUCCUUGAAAGCCAUCCAUUCGAGUUGGGGGGGGGUCUCCUCCAAUGCUUAACUGUACUCAUAAUCAAAGAUACACUGCAAGCACUUGUUAAAAAUCAUUAGUCCUUUAAUUGUACCAUCAACAUCACCAAAACCCACUUAGGGCUUGAUUGCACUUACAAUCUCCCCCUUUUUGGUAAAUGUUGACAACACAAUUAAAGCUUACAUUUAAUUUAAAGAUUGAGCUUUUGACAUCAUGAAUACAAGAGCUCCCCCUUAAUAUAUGCAAGUUUGAUUUGAAUUCAAGUGUAUGUCUCCUCAAGACAUGCUUUGCAUAUAUUAAGAGCAAAAGUGAAUAAAAGCAUUGUAUUCAUGUCAUCGUGGGGUGCAAAAGAACUGUGUCAAAUAAUAUCCGUGAUGCAUAUGAUAGAAAAUGCACAGGUGAAAACUUUCUGGUUCGGCAGACCCUAGAGCCUCCAGGCCUAGGCGCGGAGCCUCCGCGUUCUGCAGCCUCAGAGAAUUUUCAGCAAGACAGAAAAAGCUUCAACCAUCACACAAAGCUAAACAUGCUAGUAAUAGAUAUAAAAGAGCAGUUCUAGCAACCCAUUACAAGCAUUAAGAUCCACAUCCAUGUCCAUGACCACAAAUCACCACAAAGAGAGUUCGAAAAUGACCUCGACUCUCAUAGCUCACACACAUAACUACACACGAAGGUGAAUACGACAUCUCAAAAGAUACUCUCAAUCUUGCUCUUCUCCCCCUUUGUCAACAAGUACCAAAAAGGAAAGAAUAAGAGAGAAAAAGCGCUGCAGCCAGCUGAAGAUCACUCGUCUCUGCUCCAGUCACUGCUAAUGUCGCUGUCUGAAGGAGUAGCUGGCUUCUUCCCACUGGAAACUGUCCUCCUCUCGGACUCGUCCUCACUAUCUGUCACAAUAGCCCGACCUGCAUGAUGAGUAGUAGCAGUGUAGCAUUGUGGUCUAGCUGACCUUCUCUCAGUCCUCCCCACAUACAUAUUCUCUGCAAGUGUCUCCUGAUCAGGUGGAAUAGGUGGAGAAGUAGAGUUGUCAUCGGAGGACUCCUCAAGUCUAGGAGAGGUAGGAGGAGGUGUAACUUGUCUAGUCUUAAAUCCCAUGUCCUGCCUCAUCUCAUUUAUCUCUUUCCCGCCCUUAUAAGCUGUGUUGGCUGCAUAUUGGCAUAAGCAAAAGAUAUUAUUGAUAUGGUCUUCAGUUUGUCGCUCCUGGACCUAGAGCGAGACACAGAGGGUCUGCUGCUGAUGCCAUGUCUCUGAGAAGUGCCUGGUGCAUCUUCUGCAGCUGCUGUCCCUGCACCAGAAAUGAGUGCAUCCCAACCACUAUGCUGCCACUGAGUCAAUUUAUAUGGCUUAUGCUCCACAUCCUUCUUGAACACCACUCCUGAGACUCUCUCAAUGACAUACAUGAUGUAGGGAGCAUAUGGGAGAUCAUAUCUAGCAUCAUCCAUAGAGUAACUCAGCUCAUCCCAAAUAAAUCUGCUAAUAGAGAAAGCAUCACUCGCAGGAGCCAUUCUAGCAAGCAAAUUUGUGGCAAACUUCCUAAGAGAGGUGGAAUCGCCUUCCUUUGGGUUGAUAGUCUCUCAAAAUAGGUUAUUCAUGGCAUAGUAAAAAGGCUUCAACCCAACUGUCUUCUCAUCAGCAAAUUGCUUCCUUGCAUAGGCGAAUGCAAUAUCCUUACCCUUUUUCCACUUCUCUAGAGUAAUCCUGUCAGCAUACCUAUCUCCACUCCCAAAACCAAGAAGGCCGGCAAAAGUGGUGAAAUCCACUUUGUAGUGAACACUUUCUGUCAUCCAGUGAAUAGAGUCUGCGUCAACCUCAUGAUGAUAAGUGGCAUGGAAUUGACCCAAAAUUUCCCUGUUCCAGUCAUACUGAAAAAGCCAUGAUGUCCCUUAGUCCAUGCUCUGUCACUGUAGAUAACACUCUUUGUGACUCUGGAGUGUCCAUGCUCUCAAUGUGAUUCCAAUCGAUGUACUUCAUCUUCACUAUCUUCUUCUCCUUGGCAAGAAUCACUGUCUUGUAGAAAUCAAACUUAAACACUGACCAAAACCUAUAGUCAAGGCCUUUGUCAUUUAUCCACACAUAUGGAUUCUCAGCCCUUGCUUUCUUCACUUGAAUAUAUAGACCCUGAUAAUUGAUGUGUUGUCGCUGCACAGCACGAUUAUAAAUUACAGGCUCUCUCCUCACAGGUGAUCCCUGAAACUGCCUCAAGUAGGAUGGAUCAUACUCAAGAAGAAGAGGAGGUGUCUCAGGUGCACCAACAGCAGGUAUGGUUUUCCCUUCUCUACCUCCAUCAUCCGCAGGGCCUUCUCCCUGUCUGGCUGGACCAGCAAUGCCAUGGUCGGCACCACUGCCACUAGCUUGGCUGCCACCAGUAGCACGCCUAGGUGUAGCUUUCUGACCGCCUCUGCCUCUGCCUCCCCCUUGCUACAAACCACCACUGCUACCAGCAAGCUCUUGAGCUACCAAGCUGCGAAUAUGCCUGUCACCCGGAUCAUGAACAUGCUUGGAUCUCUUUUCAUUCCUUCAGCUCGAGUCGCGAUCCAUCUAAGACGAAGAUUGUAGAACCUAUAAGACACUACUAUCAAACAUACCAGAACAUUUUGAGACAUUUUAGUUGAACUUUGAAUUAAAAUCAUGGCUUUCAUCUCUCAGACCGCGGAACCUCCGCACAGUAGCCCGGAGCCUCUGCGUUCUGGCAGUUUCAACACAUGAACCUUGAUUCAACUUUCAACUAAAAACUAGCCCAAUGUACUAGCAUAUUCAACACUAGAAGACUAAAGCAACAUGGUCUACUCAAGGAAUUGGCAGAAAGAUGCCCCAAAAUGAAUCCAUGGUGAGAUUUAGGGUUUCACCUUGGAUGUGGAAAGUCAAAUCGGAGACAAUGGAGAGGAGGAGGCCGCAUGUGCAGAGGGUGCUCCUCAGCCACGAGAGUGGCCAAGGAGCCAAGAGGACGACCAGCGACGGACUUCCUCCAAACGACGAAAGGAGGCAUUCCUUUCACAUGCUUCACGGGCUCCCCCUGAGCCCCAGCUCCAUGGUGUUGGAUGCGGCACUCCUAAGCAGCAACAGGAGAAGAGGACGACGGCGCGACGGCGAGGAAGAGGGGUGGCGCGACAGCAGGAUGUCGGCGGCGAUGGAGGAGAGGCGAGCGGCGCACGGGACUGAGAGAGAGAGGGAUGCGGCUCGCACAAAAGAUGUCUCAGUAACUUAGAGAAAUUACUGGGAGGGGUAAAAGAGGAAGGAUGAAAAUGAUUUUAAUUUUACCCCAAAUUCUAACCGUUCUACAGAGCGCGGAGCCUCCGGGCAGAGACGCGGAGCCUCCACGGUCUGAACCGAGGGCAAAACAUGAUCUAUAUUUCAAGGAUAUCCUACGUGUUUUGAUUAUGGUCAUGGACUUCUUGUCUAUUGUAGCUAGCCAACAAAUCAAUCAAUACGUAACUAUACCUACUGGAGACAAGAUAUGGACAUAAGAAGCAACAACUUGAAACACUCAUAAAUAUUUUGCAAGCCUAGCUAGUGAAUAAACAGUAAACAAUCAGAGGUGUGCAUGAUUUCAAACCAUGUUACGGGAGUCAAGAAUAUUUAGUUCACUCCUCAAGAAACAAAACCUUGACUCGUCAGGCGGCUUUGUGAAGAUAUCGGCUAGUUGCUUUUUGGUGCUCACAUGGCAUAAAGCGAUAUCUCCUUUGUUUUCGUGGUCUCUCAAGAAAUGAUGACGGAUGUCUAUGCGCUUGGUUCUUGAGUGGCUUACGGGAUUAUUUGCUAGCUUGAUUGCACUUUCAUUAUCACACAAAAGUGGAAUAUGGGUAAAUCGACAUCCGUAAUCAUUGAGGGUUUGCUUCAUCCAAAGUAGUUGGGCACAGCAUGCACCGGCCGCCACAUACUCCGCUACGGAAUUUUGCUUCUUAGAGCUCCAAGACACAAGAGACCGUCCAAGGAAUUGACAUGUCCCCGAUGUACUCUUUCUAUCUACUUUGCAACCGGCGUAAUCGGAAUCCGAAUACCCAAGUAGAUUGAAAUUGGACCCCUUAGUAUACCACAAGCCAAAGUGAGGAGUGUGCACUAAAUAUCUCAAUAUUCUCUUAACGGCCAUUAAAUGACACUCUUUCGGGUUAGCUUGAAAUCUAGCAUACAUGCACACGCUAAGCAUAAUAUCCGGCCUAGAUGCACACAAAUAAAGUAGAGAACCGAUCAUGGAACGAUAUACCUUUUGGUCGACGGCUUUCCCUUCUUCAUUCAAGUCUAGGUGCCCAUUUGUUGGCAUAGGUGUCUUGAUGGGCUUGGCAUUCACCAUGUCAAACUUCUUGAGCAUGUCUCUUGUAUACUUGGUUUGACAUAUGAAUGUCCCUUCCUUCAUUUGCUUGAUUUGAAAACCAAGGAAGAAUGUCAACUCGCCCAUCAUAGACAUCUCAAAUCUCUUGGUCAUCACCUUGCUAAACUCAUCACACAAGGUUUUAUUAGUACUACCAAAUAUUAUGUCAUCGACAUAUAUUUGGCAUACAAAUAUAUCAUUUUUAAUCUUUCUUGUGAAAAGAGUAGCAUCGGCUUUGCCUAUUUCAAAGCCUUGCUUGAGCAAGAAAUCCUUAAGGCAUUCAUACCAUGCUCUUGGAGCUUGUUUAAGCCCAUAGAGUGCCUUAUGGAGUUUGUAGACAUGGUGUGGAUGCUUGGGGUCUUCAAAUCCCGGUGGUUGCUCUACAUAGACUUGCUCGGAGAGUGGUCCAUUGAGAAAGGCACUCUUGACACCCAUUUGAUAUAGCUUGAAAUCAUGAUGGACAGCAAAUGCUAGAAGCAUACGAAUUGCUUCAAGCCUUGCCAUAGGUGCAAAAGUCUCUUCAAAGUCUAGCCCUUCAACUUGAGUAAAGCCUUGAGCAACCAACCUUGCUUUGUUUCUUGUCACCACACCAUGUUCAUCUUGCUUGUUGUGGAAGACCCACUUGGAGCCAAUCACAUUUGUCUUGGGUCUUUCCACCAACUCCCACACUUGAUUUCUCUCGAAAUUGUUCAACUCUUCUUGCAUAGCCAUCACCCUAUCCGCAUCCUCGAGAGCUUGUUCUACCUUGAGUGGCUCUAGAGAGGAAACAAAAGAGUAAAAUUCACAGAAGUUUGCUAAUCGAGAUCGUGUUAUUACCCCUCUUCUUAUGCUCCCAAGGAUGUUGUCAACGGGAUGAUCCCGUUGAAUACUUUGAUGAACUCUUAGGUGAGGUGGCACAUCGGAAGGUUGAUGUAGGGGUUGGUCUCCGUCAACAUCAUCAGCUUGAGGCUCAUUAACUUGUACUUGAUCAUCCUCUUGCUGAUUAUAGUCCCAGACCUUGGAGCCUCCGCGCUCGGGCGUGGAACCUCCAGGCCCCAGAGCCUCCGCGUUUUGGUGCGAAGCCUCCCCGUCCUGUAGAUCAGCAGGACCAGAGACAGGUGUUGGCCCUUGGAUUGGUGUUGAAGCUUGAACUUGUGGCUCAUCUUCUUCAUUAGCUUCAACUGGUCUUACAUCACCUAUGGCCAAACGCUUGAUUGCUUCACAAGGCGGCUCUUCUUUACCUACAACAUCUAGAUCAACUUGCUCUACUUGAGAGCCAUUAGAUUCAUCAAACGUCAUGCCUACCGUGAUUUCAAUUCUUCCGGAGGAAUUAUUGAAAACACGAUAGGCAUGCUCGUUUGGACCAUAGCCAAGAAGAAAACCUUCAUCAAUUUUAGGUGCAAAUUUAGAGCUUCGGGGCUUUUUGUUAAGUAUGAAACAUUUGCACCCAAAUACUCUAAAGUAUGACACCUUAGGCUUGUUACCGGUCAAUAGCUCAUAUGAAGUUUUCUUGUAUAGCUUGUGAAGGUAGAGACGGUUGAUGGCAUGGCAAGCGGUGUUGAUUGCUUCGGCCCAAAAGUUGUCCGAAGUCUUGUAUUCAUCAAGCAUUGUUCUUGCCAUGUCGAUGAGUGUGCGGUUCUUCCUUUCAACCACUCCAUUUUGUUGAGGGGUGUAUGGUGCGGAGAACUCAUGCUUGAUCCCCUCUUCAUCAAAGAACUCUUCUACGUUGGUGUUGCGGAACUCGGACCCAUUGUCACUUCGCACUUUCUUGAUAGGCAGCCCGAACUCUCUUUGUGCUCUUCUAAUGAAGGUCUUCACCUUCCCUUGAACUUCACUCUUAUCAUGCACAAAGAACACCCACAUGAAGCGAGAAUAGUCAUCAACAAUAAUAAGACCAUAUUUGUUACCGCCAAUGCUAAUGUAGGCAACCGGUCCAAAGAGGUCCAUGUGGAUGAGCUCCAAUGAACUUGUAGUGGUGACGAUGUUCUUAGGUGGGUGCGGUGCGCCUACUUGUUUUCCGGCUUGGCAUGCUUUACGUAUCCUAUUUUUCUCAAAUUGAACAUUCGUUAGUCCAAGGAUGUGUUCCUCCUUUAGAAGUUUGGCCAAGUUCCUCAUCCCAACAUGAGCUAGUCGGCGAUGCCAUAACCAACCCAUGCUAGAUUUUGCCACUAAACAAGUCUCGAGCUUUGCUUCACUUUUGUUGAAAUCAACUAAGUAAAGCUUGCCCUUCAAAUGACCCAUAAAAGCAAUAGAGGAAUCCUCCCUUCUAGUGCUGGUCACACCCUUAUUCGUAAAGUGACAAUCAUAGCCCAUCUCACAUAAUUGUGAAACGGACAGCAGAUUGUAACUCAAUGGAUCAACAUGUAAAACAUUUGAAAGUGAAUGCUCUUGAGUCAUAGAGAUUUUACCAACACCAUGAAUUCAUCCUUUUGAACCAUCCCCAAAAAUGAUGUUUUCAUUUGAGUCAUACAUUGGGGAGUAUGAUGAGAACAUACUCUUCUCUCCGGUCAUAUGAUGUGUGCAUCCGCUGUCAAGUACCCAACUUAAUCCACCGGAGGAGUAUGCCUAAAAAACAAUUUUAGUUCCUUCUUUUAGGUCCCCAAUUUACAUUGGGGCCUUGAGCGUCAGCUACCAAAAACUUAGGUACCCAUAGAGAUCUCUUCACAUAUAUGUUGGACUGAUUUCCAACAUACGUGGCAACAACUUUACCAAGGUUGUUGCGUCUCAACACAUAGCUAGAAGAUGUACUCUCUUGGGAUGCAUGGGUCUUGGACUUGUGGACAUACUUGUUUCUCUUGGGCACAAUUAGAUUCUCCUUAACCUGCAGACGAGUGUUAGAUGCCUUAGAGGCUUGUUGCUUUGGUUGAGAUUGUGCCUUGACCCUGUUUUCCUUCCAGGCCCCGGAGCCUCCAGGCUUCUUCCCGGAGCCUCCGCGUCCUGGAGCCUUCGUGGUCUGCACAGACUGCACUUCUCCAAUAGUCUCUUUCUUCUCAAAAUUGAUGCAGGGCACACCAUUUAUAAGCUUCCUUUCACCAGUUUUGCCACCCUUCUUGUGGCCAAGACCAUCCUUGAUGAAUGGAUGUCUUCCUUGGAUGUACUUUGGCUUUUUGCUUGCAUCAUCCAUGCAUCCACUAGCUAUGAUAUUGUUGAGUCUUGCUAUUUCCUUCUUCAUAGCUUCCAUAUUAGCAAGGUUAGUAGCAUAAGCAUUUAUAUCAAAUUUAUAACAUCUAUCACAACCUUUGCUAGUAGAGGCACUAGAGAUCUCACUUGCUUUCGGAAGAUGUUUGGUGCUAUCCCAAAGGAUGCUAUAUUGCUCCUCAAGCUCCUCAUUUCUAUUUUUGAGGGCGUUGUUCUUUUCUUGUAGAGCAUUAAGAUCAUCCUUUAGGGUAGCUUGGAUAGUCUCCGCUUGGUCAAGUUCCAAGCGUAAGGCUUCCACCUCACUCCUCUCCGAAGCAAGAUUCUCCUUGCAAGUGAUGUAAAGUUUCUCUUGCUUGGCAAGGAUGGCUUGAGUCUUCUCUAGUUCCUCUACUAACUUGGCUAUGAAAUUUCUAGAUUUUUUAUCCAUUUUACUAACCAAGUUAUUUAUUUCAUCAUCACUAGAUUCAUCACUAGAGUCUAUGUCUGAGAGAUCACUAGGUGGUGAGGUACUCUUAGUUUUGAGUUUAGAUUGUUUUACCUUUUCUCCUUUUGCCAUAAGACAAAAAGGAGUGGUGCUGUCCUCAUCAUCGGUUAAGUUGGUAAAGAGCCUUGGUGAAGAAGACUUGUUCUUGAUAGCAAUGGUUGCAAUCUUCUUGCCUUCUUCUUCACUUGAGCUUUCAUCAUGUGAGUCCCAUUCAUGACCAAUGUGAGCUUGACCCGAGUAACUUUCCUUCUUCUUGUUGCGGUUCUUAUCUUCUCUCUUGUAACUCUUCUUUUUGUGUCUCUUUUCUUCUUCAUUGUUAAGAGGACACUCGGCAAUGAGAUGUUCCGUGCUUCCACACUUGUAGCAUGUUCUCUUCUUCUUAUUGGUAAACUUUCUCUUUAUGAACAUGUAGCCUUCUCUUUUCAAUCCUUUCUUGUACUUCCUCAUGAACAAGGCAACAUCUCCAAUUUCACCGGAGGACCCACUAUCAUCUUCAUCAUCACUUGAGUCACUUGAUGAGACAUCUACUUCAACUUUGCUUGAUGUUGGUCUUGAAACACUUGAAAUACAGGCUUUGCUUGACUUGUUUGCCUUGAGAGCUACAUCCUUGACCUUGAGAUUUUCCAUCUUGGCUUCAAGCUCCCCAAACUUCUUUCUUUGUUGUAUUUCCAUCUCCAUAAGCUCAUGAGUUAGAAUCCUUCCAAGUACAUCACUUGGAGAAAACUGCUCAAACCUCUUCUUCUCUCUAAUCAAUGUGACAAGUGUUGGAUUCCUUGGUGCAAAUGCUUCCAACAUCACCUUCACUACAUGAUGAUCGUCCAAGUCAUCUCCACCCAAUCCUCUAAUCUUACCAACAAUUACCAUCAAUCUAUCAAACAUCUCUUGAGGCCCUUCUCCUUCCUUGAUCACAAACCUAUUAAGUUGAGCCAUCAAUAGAUCAAUCUUGGACUUCUUCACCUUGCUAACCCCUUCAUGUGCAAUAUGAAGAGUGUCCCAAAUUUCUUUUGCUAUCUCCAACCCAAUCACUUUGUUGUAUUCUUCUGCACUUAAUGAGCUUAGAAGAACACUUGUGGCUUGAGCAUUGCGGUGUAUGCUGUGGAUGUCUCUUGGAGUGAGAUUGUUGGGAUCUUCCAGAUCAUCAAAACCUACACACACAAUGUUCCACAACUCCGGGUGGAGACCGGUGAGAUAAGCCUUCAUCAAAUGCUUCCACUUGGCAAAGUUGGUCCCAUCAAAUGGAGGCAACUUGCCCGCGGGAAUAUUGAUGUGGUUGUUAGUAGGCAAAGCAAUGGAAUCAUAAUUGAAGGAUACAUUAGAGUAGGACUUUUUCUUGUUUAGUUUGAGAGCUCUCUUUGGAAUCCUUUGCCCAUAGUACUCAUCAUCAUCAUCUCCAUUCUCUGACUCGCUGCUUGGUGGAGGACUUGGCUGCACCUUCUUCUUUACAUUGCUUUUCUUCUUCUCUUUGCCCUUAUUCUUUUCCUUUUUGUUGUCAUCCUUGGAGGAUCCCAGCUUACCUAUCUUGAGCCUUGAAAGCUGCUCAAGUGCUGCUGUGGGAUCAUCAUCAGAUGACUCUUGUUCCUUUUUGCUGGGAAUAUCUUCAAACUCCUCACUCUUGUCUCCAUCUUGUGUUCCUCUAGGACUUGUCACUUCCUCACACGGUUAAGUGCUUAUCACAAGGAAACCAAGCUCUGAUACCAAUUGAAAAGAUCUAACAAGUGGCCUAGAGGGGGGGUGAAUAUGUCUUUUUCUAAAAUCAACAAACUUCGCAGAACUAUCAGACCGUGGAGCCUCCGGGCCAGACCGCGGAGCCUCCGGGGGCGUGGAACCUCCGGGCUUAUGCCUGGAGCCUCCAGAAAAUAGAGUUACAAAUCAAUCUACUACGGAAUUUAAUGAAUGAAAAAUAGAUCGAAUGUGAUACCAAGGUUCCUAGGAAGUAUGUCGAUCUUUCUAACCAGCAGGUUGCACCAAGAUGAUAGAAGCUUUGUAGAUCGAGUGCAAACCCUAAAAACAAGUAAUAACAAGAACAAUCUCAAGCACAAGUGAUGCAGGGAUUUUUCCCGUGGUUCGGCUCGCCACCAAGGCUGACCUACGUUCACGUUGUUGAGGCACGCCACAAAGGCUGCCGAGUCUCUUUCAACUCGACCCUCUUCUCAAACCUAUCACCAAAGCAAUAGACCAAGAGUUCCACUAAAACAUAGGGUAAUACAAACUUCCCGGUGCUCAAUCACAACGAGCUGGGAGCUACCGGGCAACCUCUAGCCAACUAGGAGCAAAGCUCCAAGAGUAAAAGACACACCAAGCGGCUAGGGCUUCUCCAAGUGCACGAGAAUGGAGGAGCACGAUCUUCUUGAGCUUUCUCACGGUCUCACAAGCUUAAUCCCUCAAGGAAUCACUGAGAUUGGAGUUUAGGAGCUUGGGAGCUAUGGAGUUGAGGGAGCUUCUGUUUUUCGCGAGUCUGGAGGUUGACGAAAGAAGAUGACCGUUGGGGGCGACGGUGGAGAGGUUUUUAUACCUCCCGUCACCCACAUAACGGUCGGGUCAUUGCAAACCCCGGAACCUCCGCGGUCAACUGCGGAGCCUCCGUGCUUGCUAGAACAGAAACGAGUUGAGCUUUGCUGGCAAUUUGUGGCUGGGAAAAUUUGGUAUGUGGAAGAUGUUUUGUGCACUUGGUUCCAUCCCUAACCACCAUUAGUAUCCCCCUUGAUAGUACUGCUUGUCCUAACUCAAAUUCAAAAUAGAAAAUGAAGUAAACUAGAACUUGAGUCCUUGAAAGCCAUCCAUUCGAGUUGGGGGGGGCUCUCCUCCAAUGCUUAACUGUACUCAUGAUCAAACAUACACUACAAGCACUUGUCAAAAAUCAUUAGUCCUUUAAUUGUACCGUCAACAUCACCAAAACCCACUUAGGGCUUGAUUGCACUUACAGGGACGGAGACGGGCCGGUGCAGUAGCGAGUCGCACGCUGGCUUGGCGUGCACGGGCAGCAAGCACGCAGCGGCACAGUGUCACACCCUAAAAUAUUUAAUUUUAGGAUGUGAAUAUCUCUUACAAUAUGUUCAUCCAUCAAUAGGAUUUUUCGAGAAUUUUAUAGAUUUUUCUGGUAAUUAUUCUAUUUAUCCUAGAGCUAGGUCCAUUUAUUUUAUUAUUUGGAAAGCUCUAAAAUUCUUUUUCAUGAAGUCCAAAUAUUCUGUUUGGAUUCCUCGUGUCCUAAAAUUACCUCCCAAGUUUUCCUCGGAAAAUUUUGGGAUUCUUCCGGAUAUAUUUUUCUUGGUUUGAAAUAUUUAUCUGGAUAUUUUCUAGAUUUGUUUUAAACUUGAAAAUGUGUUCCGGAAAAAUUUCUAUUUUUGAUUUUCAUCGCAGUCGGACCGAGCCGUACCUUUGUUGUAUAUCCUUUUAACCUUAUCCUCUCCGAAUCAUUAAGAAGUUCCGUCGAGCUCCCGAUCCUCUAACCGUUUCCCCCGAUCAAGUCAUGCUUGAAAACGAUGCCUCGUGGCUCGUCUUCGGUAUUUUUUCCGAUGAUGUUCGAUCGACGUCAACCCCAACGACUCGGCCUGAUCCCUCCUUCUCUUUUCCGCGCUCCCAAAUAACUCGUUCACGUUCAACUAGCUCUGUCAGCUCGUUUUCGUGUUCAGCCCUCACCCGAUCCUGUUUCGGCCCAUAAACGAACCCACUCAGCCCUUCUCGUUUCCUCUUUCCAUUACCUCUUCUAUCGUCUCUCUUUGCUCGUUAAAUUGUGGGACGCGCUGGUCAGCCCAAUCUCGUCUCCCGUGAGCAAUCCGAACUCAAGAAAGUCCCAUUCCGAUGCGCUGUCGCGUCCUUAUCCUCGUUCGAGUUGGAGCCCAGCAUGAUAUCUCCAGGCCUAUUUUAAACGCGUCUUGCACCACCUGUUCUCCAGUAGCCAGCCCUAAUUUUCUCCCCUGCGUCGGCUCCUGCGUGCCCUAUAAAUUCUUGCGUAACCCUAGCCUCUGCAUCGCGUCCCUGCUGCCCAUGUAGCCGGCCCUAGAUUUCCCUCGCGCUCCUGCUCUCCCUCUUCCUUCACAUCCAUGAACAGAUGCUACCGCCGUCGUUGUGCCCUGCCUGUGCCCCUGCUUCCUGUGCGCCGUCUCCUCUGCCCAAGCCUGCGCCACCAUCACCCAACCCCCUGCGCUGCCUCCUGCUGCCGCGCCUGCUCCUGCGCGCCACCAGCUGCACCGCCCCUACUCCUUUUUCUCCCCCAGCACAGCUCCUGCGCGCCAGACCUGCCCUGCACGGUCAUCAGGGUGAGCAGGACCGCCGCCAACAGCUGUUGUAGCAGCCUCCCCCCUCCUGCCGCGGUGCUCCCCUCCCUGCGCAACCAGCAGGGCGGCACUGCCCCCUACCUAGCACCCUGCGCCCCUGCCGAGCCUGCAGGCCACCGCAACAGGGGACAGAGCAGCCACCCAGGAAACUAUGAACAGACCCGCCGGUGCCGCUUCCUCCGCGAAAUUCGAUCUCUACGAUGCAUCUCCGCUGCGGGUAAGGCAUGGAAUCGAAUCCCCUCCCUCUCCUCUUUCUUUUCCCCCACUUCCCGCGACCUCCCAUGCCCGAAAUCGCCGGCAAUUUGGAGAACAGUGGCCGCCGCCACCAUUGGAGCUGUGCUGUGAAGCUUUUUCAAUUUAGUCCCUGAAGAAUCCUAUAAUUAUCGUGUAAUUUUCUGUAUCUAGCGAAAAUUGCAGAAAACCCCCUAGAUCUUUUCCAUCUUUUCAAUCCAGCCCCACCAUGGAAUUUUUCAGAUCUAACCCUAAUCUUUUCUGUAUUUGUGAGCCCUAUUUUUCUGUGUCUUGUUUUUCUUUUCAGCUAACCCUUGAAGUCUAUAGUUAAUUGCGUAUAGGUCCUUGCAGCAUUGUUUUAUGCGUAGUUGCCGCGUUUUAGAUCCGUUUUGAUCCGUUCUUUUUGCGUUAGUCUUCUAAAACCCUAAGCUAUCGUUUAGUAGCGUUGUUGUACCAUAAUUCCUAUUUUUCAAAUUAAAUAUCAAUUUAAUUUGAAUAAUAUUCUCUCAUCUAGUUUCCGAAAUAAAAUCCAAUUAAGUCUUUUCUCCGAUUUUUAUAAGUAAUGUUAACUCAAUUAAUAUGAACUUAAAUGUGUUUGUAAUUUAAUUUUUUUAGUUCAACACGUAUCAUAAAGUUCAAUGUUUAGAUGCUCUCACCAGUUUCUUUUCUAAUUAAUUAAUUAAUUAGUGUAAUUUGUACAUAGAGAAUUGUAUAUAAAAUUUGACUAAGUUCUACUUCAUCUUUAUAAAUGCAAAUAUAAUAUGAGUUAAUUAUAAUUAGGGAUAUUCUCUUUUGAAUAUCUUUUACAUUAGUUUUCAGGAUUAAAAUAAAUGAAAGCCUAUAGUUCUUUUAUUUCUUUCAUAACAUAAGUCUUCCGAUAGCUGUUUCUUUUUAACCCUACCUCCGUUUUCCGUGUUUCUUGCGCUCUCAUGAUCGUAGCAACGAGCCCUAUCCUUUAGUUCGCUCUUUUAAACCUUUCCUUUUGUUUGUUGUAUCUGUUCUUAGUUGUUCUUGUUUGCUUGCUUGCUUGUAUGCUUCGGUCGGAUGCUUGUGUGAUGUUAGAAGAAGCGCGAUCCAAGAGCUUUAAAGAUCUAGAGUUUCAAGAACAAGAGUUGAAGACUCUGAGCAGCUAUUCUCUAAAAGAAAGGCAAGUGUUUUCUUGAUCAUGCUUUUGUCCUAAUAACCGCAAUAAAUAUAACUUUCUUUUAUGCAUGCAUGUGUCUUGAUCUGAUGGAUCCUAAUUAAGGACAUGCCUAGUCUUUAUAAUCAUUCCUUAUCAACCUGGGUUUUAUCUUUACGUUGGGUAGCUAUUGCUUAGUUGCUAUAACUGGUUCCGGAUCGGGAAUAAUUUAUAACCAUGAUGAUGAUAAUGAUGAUGCUACACCUGUUUUAUCCAUGUUCAUGCUCUUUGUGUUGUUAAUCAUAAGAUUAUAUGUUUAAUCGGAACAUGGAGAACCACCCAGGAAAACAGUGCAACCACAAUACUAUAUGGCUCUGAUCUUGGCUAAUUAAUUAGAAACUCUAGCUUGUGAUGAUCUUACCGAAAGGGCAAGAGGGGAGUGCGUUGACGGGGUAUAGCCCGGUCCUCUUGAGGCGUAGAUAUGUUCCUGGGUAAGGCGUCUUCCUCAUUAGGGAGGGUUAUGACCACUGCGGCCUGAAACCUUAGCGGAUUGUCAUAAGUUAGGGAAUCUUUGUAAAGGCCUCGUAGUGAAUCCCUUGCCACUCACCUUGGAAGUGUUUAAGAGGCUAGCUACCUCGGGCAAAUCGGGAGACACGAAUUGUGGGUAAAGUAUACAACCUCUGCAGAGUGAAAACUGAUAUAUCAGCCGUGCUCACGGCUAAGAGCGGCUUGGACCCUCACAUGAUAAUUGAACUCGAAGAUGAAUUAAAUCGUGGACCAUGGUUAUGGUUAUGGUUAUGGUUAUCGUGGACUAUGUUUAUGUUUAUGUUUAUGUUUAUGGUUAUGUUUAUGCUGUAUCUCUUCUCUCUCUUUUAAUGUGGGUUUUGGUAUGAACUUAUACCUUAGUAAUCAGAUGCUAAUAAAACUUGACCAACUAAAAUUGCUUAUCGCAGUAAGCCAGUCAGCCUUUCCUUGAUUUUAGCCUUCAUGUCAUGUAUUUCCCAACACUUGCUGAGUACCAAUCAUAAGUGUACUCACACUUGUUAUAAUUGCUGCUCAGAGGAGAAAGUGAUGUGAAGUCUUUUGAAGAUGAUGCUGAGUUCUAGGCUUGCGCAACCCCCGGUCGAUUGCCUGUGAAGUUUGGAGUCUUCUUUUCCAGGAUAAGCUGUAUAACUCUAAUAAUCUUUAUAGUCUUUUAAUUCUCUUUUCGUGAUACUGUUGCUGAUUAUUCACUGAUGAAGUCACUAUAUGUAUGGAACUUGAUCCUGGCAUAUAUAUAGUUAUGCAUUUGGUUUUGUCCUUUAAAAACCGGGUGUGACAGAGGUGGUAUCAGAGCUGUGUCGAUUGUAGGACGCUAGUCUAGAUAGCAAUGGUCAUUUUGUAAGAUCUAUUCUGAUAUAAAAGUCAUAUUUUACCAUAUCCUUGACCCUCUUGUUGUUUAUUCCUCAUCCUUCUUCAUUUAUCUCACCCUUGAUGCUGCUUUUAUCUAACUCUGUAUUCUUUUCUUUUAUUCCCUCAUUUUCAUUGCUUUUACAUCUCACAAUUUCCUUGUCUGUUUGUACCCUCAAUGGCAUUGGUUACCUUGUAUCCAUUUGUUCCAAUUUACAUUCUCCUUGAAUUCAAGUUUGGCUACUUUGGAAAUCCCCUUGUCCUCUAUUCCAAAUGGAUUUAUUUUCUACUCUCCAUUUGAUUACAAACGUUAGAUCGUCCGACCUUGUACCCCGAACAAUGGAAGAAACAGUCCACUACAAGAAGUCAAGCUAGAGAAACUGAAGACCACGUUGGACUCAGAGGCGUAACACUCAAGAAGUCAAUGUUCCGCCAGACAAGCUGAGAGAGAUGCCUACAUCAAAAAUGCUAAAGCUUUAGGAUAUGACCCAUACUUAGGAGGUUCCCCUUUUUAGUUGUAAAACGCUAGUUUCGGUUGUUUGAUAGUUUGUUUUGGUGUGCUUGUAAUGUUUGUUGUUCUGCUCUUGACUGCUUAGACUCCUUGUCUUUGCUCAUUGAUGCGUUGUCAGACUUGUGCCUGCAAUGACAUCAUUUCUCCCUUAGUUUUAUCAACCACGAUAUCCUCACGUUCCAAAGCAUAAGCCAGCAGAAAAGACCCAAACCCAAAUUCUAUCCUUUUGUCUCGAUACCCAUCUUGUCAUAUCGCUUUACUCCUGGUCGGAAGCUCCUUGCCUUAUCUCUCCUUUCUAUCUCUAGACUUUAUGAAUCUCUCGUCGACGCCAUCUUCUUGCUCCUUAGCAAAAGUUAGCACAGAAGACCCAAAUCCGUUUUCUCUCUUUCUUGAUACCCAUCUUGUUACCUUGUCGCCUCCUUUCAACCUCAAGGUUUUGUAAAUCUCUCAUCAACCCUAUCUGCUUGGAAGCAUGUGAAGAAGAUCCAAUCAUCUUCCCUCCUUUUCUUGUUACCCAUCUUGCCAUCCCUCCUUACCCCUUAUUAAAAAAAACAAGCUCUAUGUUCAAUCUCCCCUUCCAAUCAUCAGCCCUUGUGAAUCUCUCGUCAACGCCUUUUGCUCAAUUCAGCUAAAAGCAAGUGAAGAUCCCAAUCUAAACACUCUCAUCUUCUCGAUACCCAUUUUAUUAUCUUGUCGCCUCCUUGAUGAAAUCUUUUUGCCCUAACCCUCGUCUUUGUCACCAGCCCUUGCGAAUCUCGGGACAAGAUUCUGUUUAAGGGGGGUAGUUCUGUCACACCCUAAAAUAUUUAAUUUUAGGAUGUGAAUAUCUCUUACAAUAUGUUCAUCUAUCAAUAGGAUUUUCCGAGAAUUUUAUAGAUUUUUCUGGUAAUUAUUCUAUUUAUCCUAGAGCUAGAUCCAUUUAUUUUAUUAUUUGGAAAGCUCUAAAAUUCUUUUUUAUGAAGUCCAAAUAUUCUGUUUGGAUUCCUCGUGUCCUAAAAUUACCUUCCGAGUUUUCCUCGGAAAAUUUUGGGAUUCUUCCGGAUAUAUUUUUCUUGGUUUGAAAUAUUUAUCUGGAUAUUUUCUAGAUUUAUUUUAAACUUGAAAAUGUGUUUCGGAAAAAUUUCUAUUUUUGAUUUUCAUCGCAGUCGGACCGAGCCGUAUCUUUGUUGUAUAUCCUUUUAACCUUAUCCUCUCCGAAUCAUUAACAAGUUUCGUCGAGCUCCCGAUCCUCUAACCGUUUCCCCCGAUCAAGUCAUUCAUGCUUGAAAACGACGCCUCGUGGCUCAUCUUUGAUAUUUUUUUUCUGAUGAUGUUCGAUCGCCGUCAACCCCAAUGACUCGGCCUGAUCCCUCCUUCUCUUUUCCGCGCUCCCAAAUAACUCGUUCACGUUCAACUAGCUCUGUCAGUUUGUUUUCAUGUUCAGCCCUCACCCGAUCCUGUUUUGGCCCAUAAACGAACCCACUCAGCCCUUCUCGUUUCCUCUUUCCGUUACCUCUUCUAUCGUCUCUCUUUGCUCGUUAAAUUGUGGGACGCGCUGGUCAGCCCAAUCUCGUCUAGAUUGUGUUAUACCCGCUAUUGUCGUUCCGCGGCAUUCCUUCUGCAUGGCGCAUUUUGAUUUCUCAAUCUGCGGGCGUCUCGCUGGGCAUCAUCCUCAUUAACUGCCUCCGCAAUGACUUUGUCGGCGAAGAUCUUGUUGGGUACUACAUCGUUGUACCGGCUACUGACUUCGUCGACCUCCGCCGCAAACACAUGGCGGUGUGAGGUGUAUUCCCUCGGAGCUGUAGUUGACCAAGACAGUGUUCUCCCCCGCUUCCUCGUGGAUGGGGGGAAGAGGCCUGCCUUCUCGAUAGGCAGUUCUUGAAGGUAGGCCACGAGGCGGGUGUUGUCUUCGAGUAGCUUAGAGGCUCUAAGUCCUUCCAGUACACGAACCGGCCUUGUGGCGUUGAUGUGAUCCUCAGACUUGACUACCCAAGGUGGGUUUGCAGUCAUCAUCAGAAUCCGAGUAGAUAUCGUAGACAGGAGCCUCCCAGCACGCGGUGGCUUCUCCUUCCCUGAGUUGAAGUAGACGAUCCAAGUUCUCUGCCAGUGCAGAGAGGAACUCGGACCACUGGCCUCCUGGUAGACAGUGGCUGAAUUGCGUAGUCUGAACGGGAAUCGGACACGCUAUUCGUUAGAUCGGUUAUGGCCCGAUCCGAGGAGUCCUGGUGUGGUACGAGUUGAAGUCGCGUUGAAAACAGACUUUUUUCAAUCUCUCUAGCUAAGUCAGGGAGCAGCAUCUCAGUGAGAUUGUCCACGAAUUCAUCAAGAUUGUUGCGUAGGGUUGCUACACGGGCCUUCGGCUUCGUGUUGUCGACAAGGUGCCGACGGAAGUCGCCUGCGCCGUCAGCGAUGCAAACCCACAAGUCGAAGUUGAACGUUGUGCCCUCGUCAAGCACAGCGCUGGUGAAGUUGAACGUUGCCAUUGAGUUCUCCAGGGGAUCUUCGAUUGAUUAUAUAUAUAUUCUCCUCUUAAGAUUUUCUAUUUCUUUUGCAACUAAUUCCGCUUCUGCUUCUGGGAGAUAGAAUUUAGGAAGAGAAGGAACGGAUUUCUGGAGAAAGAUAAAGUCAGGCAAUGACCAGGUUGAAUUCUUUAAUCGACAGGUGAACCCAGAGAACACGGCUCCAUAUAUAUAUACAUAUUAUAUACAGACAUUUUGGAAAGGACAUGCCCCUUCCGACCAGGCCCUUUCUAGCGGGUCCGGCAUAGACUAAUACAUGUGUUGUGUUAAUACUAAUUGAUCAUAUGCCUAAUGGUGGGUACGGUGCGCGGCAUCGUUAGCUUGGAAUGUGUCUAUUUGCUAUGGAGCACUUGAUGUUGCCGAGAGUACUUUGACAACUCGACACAACUUUCAAAUAUUGCGUUCGGAACAACAGUUAUAUAGCGUCUGUUCGGUAGUGGUAAGCCACAGCCGUAGCAGCCAUGGAAGAAGCUGAAGCAAACAGACCGAUACUUCGUGCAAAGCCCUAUACGUCUUUGGUUUCUCAGCUUGCACAACACGAGGCAUUCACAACCCUUUAGUUCUCAGAAACGACCACUGCUUAUCUUGUCGGCAUGCGUAGUUCCAAAGAAAAAGACCCAAAGCUGUCCGUCUAAUUUACCAAACUGGACAGCAGAUGGCAACAAGUGCCAGAACCAUGGAGCCUCUCUAUAUAUUUUCAUUGCUCCGCUCAGCACAUCGUUACAGGCAAGGAGCUGACCUACCAAAGAUGCUGCUGAGAUGCCAAUGACAAGAACUCAACAUGUCACUUUCGUCCAACAACGAGGAGGGAAUGCGCUGCUCUUGCACAAGAAGUUUGGAGCUUCUCCAUAGCACAAAUACUAAAGGAAGGUCUAAAAAAAAUACUAAAAGGAAAUCAUAGGCAACUAGCACCUCUGAAAUGGACAGAACUGACAUGGGUAGCGCUGCAACUGUGCGCUUGAUGACGUGUCGGUUAGCAAUAAUCUCAUGUUGUUGUCCAUGGCCACUCACAGUUGAUGGAUUAUUAAUGGUUAUUAGUAGUGUCAUUAUCAUCCAUGUAUAGUCAGGUAGCAAUUCAAUUGUCCCAGCUCUGAAUCUCUGAUGCAGCGGUACUUCGGAGGACUGCCCGCCAAGUUGGAGACCUGCCCACAAAUAAAGGCUUUGAAAGAGAUGUUUCCCUGUUUCUGGCCGUCCAUGUUACACAGAGUAGUUUACCAUGUGUGUGCAACUGUGCUGUCUGCGCAUUUGACCAAAGUAACGACACGAGAGGGGGAAGUGCUACAGACGGGUUAGGUACACACCUAAAUUUACAUUACAAAAUUCUACCAAAAAUAAUUGUUAGUAAACCAUGCAAAUAUCUAUUAUCAUAUAAAAUUUAAGGUUGAAACAAAAUUUGUACGAGGAGAAAUAAUUGUAACCUUAACUUUUGCAUGAUGAUAGAUGUUUGCAUGACCUAGCCAUCAAUAUUUUUAAUUGGACUUUUUGUGCACAAUUAGGGUGCUACGGUGUGUUGGUAGUACGAUAGCACCCUAAAGUAGCACCUCAACUUCUCCCUUAGAAGAUAGCAUUAUUCUAAAAGUCUUGUGACUUAGAAAGCCAGCAGCUUAUUCUAAGUAAGAUGCUUGGAAGCAAGGUGAGCAAAGUUUGUAUAACAAAAGUGGUAUCUCUACAAUUGAUCCUUGCAAAAAUAGUUGUAUUUUGGAAGCUCGUAUGAGGAACUUUAUUCAAAAAAUAAAGUUAUAAGCGUAACUUUUGGACAUUUAUAAACAUUUGAAAAUGAAAUGAAGCAUGGCUAGCCGCUAGUAUCAGGUCCUCACUGAAGGGUACCUAGAGUACAACCAGUCAACUAGGGCGGACGUCCUCCUCUUGAGUUAACCGAUGCAGACCAAAGCUAGUUUUCUAUGACAUUUCAAAAUACGUGGGCUUUUGUUAGUUAAAAGAAUCAUACUCUGCCACGGCUUCACAAAAGUUUCUUACGCACGCUUGAUCAAGUCAGAUAAAUGUUCUGUUUUUUUUCUCUAAUCCACUUAAACCGUGCCAAACUUUUCAGCUGGGUCUCGCGCAUUACACACAUGAAAGGAGAGGUUGGCAUCUAGUUUUACAGACAAUUCGCUAUGAACUGGGUGACAGAUAGAUGGAACGGUAAUGCUUGCAUUAGGGCGUCCGAUGCCAAGAAAAAAUCGGACGCCGUCUGACCCCACGCGCUGAUGUUGUGGUGAGAAUUUUUUCCCUCAUAAUUUUGUUACGAUAGGUACGAGCCGAUGUUGUAGUGGGAAAGACACUCCCACCUAAAUAAGAGAUAUUGUGGAGGACUUCCUGUACAUGAUUUAUUGUUCAAUGUUGCGACAAGAAUUUAAGUUAAUUAUUAAUAUUAUUUGGGAGCCACGGGACUAGGUACAUAACGUAGUUUAAAGAGGUUUAAGAGAUUAAGACCGUCUUAUCUCUUAUUUAUCUUGUUUAUCUCUUAUUUAUCCCAUUUAAGUAGGAGAUAGAGCUAACCGAUACAGAAGGAAUCUACCCGAAACAUGUUCUGGUACGAUUCCUUAACUGGUGUUGGUUAGUAUCUUUGUAACCCUAACCUCCCGGAUAUAUAAGGGAGGGCAGGGACCCCUCUCAAAACACGAUCUCUAGAUCAUUCUACACAAAAGGCAAUACAAAUCACCAUACAGGACGUAGGGUGUUACGCAUCUUGCGGCCCGAACCUGUAUAAGCUUUGUGUUCCUUGCACCUUCGAGUUCCUGAUCUCGGCGUCUCCUCACCCAAAACUUACCACCUUGGGUAUAUCCCUCGGUGGGCAGCCGGUUAAACACCGACAGCUGGCGCGCCAGGUAGGGGAGCGCGUCGAAGAUCCACCGGCGAGCUCGAUGGCAUCUUUCAAAUUCAUCAGGUCAGUUCCCUCCCAGGGUACGACAUUCGUUUUUGGCUCGUGGGUCUGCAUCGCAGAUGGUGUGGGCAAUUUUCGGCGAUUCCUCAUCGACAUGAGGCCAAAGAUCUCCACUGCGGAUCCCCGUAGCGACCUCGACAAGUUCGUCGACGGGCUCGACAACUUGCCGCUCCAUGCUUCUGCAACAAAGAUCGAGGCGGAGACUGCUCCAGGCUCGACUUCAUCCAGUGUUGCAGCAACUUCCCCUGGGUUGGACUCGUUCCAAUCUAGGGAUUUGCAUAGCCGAUCCCAACUCGGUUCAUGCAGGCCGGCCAUUGAUCUUAGGGAGGCCAAUGUCUCUGGGUCCCUCUCCAUGUUAGAGAAGGACCUAGACUUUCUGCUCCAGGAUGGAAAGCUUGAAGCCACCGCGUGUCGGGGGGCCUCGGGUUGUUCUGGCGCCAGCAAUCUGGUAAUCACCUCCUUACCGGAGGGGCGCAUUGUGCAUUGGAGGGGCAUGGUGCUCUCCGAUCUACUCAAGGCAGAGGGUCGACUCGUGGCUCACCUCGAGCCCUUGCCCUUUCAAGAGGGCAGGCCAUUGGCUACCGCGGCAAGCACUCCUUUACGCGCAGAGGGCUUGGAUCCAGCUGGAUCAGCACAACCCGGCGUCCACCAUCAGGGAGGAGCGCGUGGGUGAGAGUCGAAGCCAGGCUCACAGCCGAACGGCUGGCGGCCGUCCUCGACACCAGCUCAGCAACGACUAUGCUCGCGGAAGCUAGGCUCCUAGCGGGAGGCAGCAGCCACAGCCAGGAGGUCAUCCGCGAUAGGCCAAUCAUCGACUUCAUCCAGAGGACCUGCGCCAGCACAUCAAUGAAGGUCGCGACACGCGCACCGUGAUCUCCUCCAGGCGCAAGGUCCGCGAAGAAGUCGAAACUGAAGGUACUGACUGUAGCGACCGAUUCCCUGCUUUUUCUGCAUGUUUCAGCAGCUACAAGUAUCCAGAGGGCUUCAAACCGAUCGGCAUCACCAAGUACGACGGCAAGCAAGCUCCUCAGCAGUGGCUCCGUUGCUACUCCACGGCCAUUGAGGUUGCAGGGGGUUCGAAUAUCACCAAAGUCAUCUACUUCCCGAUGGCUUUGGACCCUGCGCCGCUCACUUGGUUGGAAAGCCUCAGCAACAACUCAAUCGACUCCUAGGAGCGCCUCAAGAAGGUCUUCAUCGACAACUUCCAGGGAGUGAUCGCUCGUGCAGGUACUUGUCACGAUCUUGCUCAGUGUAAGCAAGAAUGUAACGAGCUCCUGCGGUCCAACACACGUCGCUUCUUCGACGUCCGCGCCACCAUCAUGAACAUCUCGGAGGACGACAUCAUCGACUGCUUCUACAACGGCAUCACCGACCCAGGCAUCUACAGAGAUUUUGGGCGGAACAAGCCAAAGACUAUUGCGGGCCUUCGUGAUAUGAUGCACGAUUGGUCCGAACAGGAAGAGAAGAUGCAGGAGCAGUUGCCGCGGCGUCAAGAUAGCAAUCUGAGGCGCCCAAACGACAACCGCAACGACAAAGGCCAGCAGGAGUUUUCGGGUCCACCCCGGAAACGAAAGCCAGAUGAUAUCAUCACGGCUAUCGAUCGUCCUUCGCGGGGUAAGAAGUCGACAACGCAGGAGGAGUUCGAGAAGCUCGUGCAGAAGAAGUGCCCGUGGCACCCAGGUACCAAUCAUGCUGCCAUCGACUGCUACCAUCUUCGGAGGACGUUCAGCAACUCUGGUGGUGGUAAGAAGAACAAGAAGCCUGCAGACAAAGAACCCGAGGAUGAUGAUCAAGAGGACCACGGGCGCAACCCGAAGUUUCAAGACGCUUCAAAGGUCGUCAACGUCAUCUUCGGGGGAAAUGAGGAUUUUGGCUCCAGGCGGGACCAGAAACUGCUUUUCCGGGAGAUUUUGUCCGUCGAGCCGACGGUACCAUGACCACUCCGUUGGACGGAGGUCCCCAUCUCGUUCUCUCGCGAUGACCAGUGGAUGAGCUUUUCGGAUCCUGGUAAGUUCCCCUUGGUCCUGGAUCCUGUGGUGGCGGAGGUCAAGCUCACCAAGGUCCUCAUCGAUGGCGGGAGCGGGCUCAAUCUCAUCUUCGUCAGCACACUGAAGAAAAUGGUUCUGGAUUUCAAGGACAUGCUGGUUCCUAGCAAAUCCUCCUUUUACGGCAUUGUCCCAGGUAACGCGGCAUAUCCGCUUGGUACGGUGGUCCUCCCAGUCACCUUCGGCACGCGGGAGAACUAUCGUACUGAGUUCAUCAAAUUCGAAGUGGCUAACUUCGAAUCCUCUUACCAUGCAAUAUGGGUCGUCCGGCACUCGCCAAGUUCAUGGCAGUGUCGCAUUACGUUUAUCUGCUUCUCAAGAUGCUAGGACUCAGUGGAGUACUCACUCUCCGUGGUGACUUGAAGAAGUCGUACGACUGCAAUCAGGAGGCGAUCCAGUAUGCUUCGACUACUCGCGUGCUAGAUGCUUCGGGAGAAGUACUCACGGCCGCGCAGCAGCUUUCCCAAUCCUGCCUGGAGAUUCCCUCCAAGAAGGCCAGCAAGUCGAGCAUCCAGUCGACUGAUGACGUGGCCCUCAAGACGAUACAGCUUCAGAAGGGAGAUUCAUCUAAGACCGCUGUCAUCGGCGCGGGCUUAUGUGACAAAUAGGAACUCGCGCUCGUCAGCUUCCUUCGGGCUAACCGAGAUAUAUUCGCGUGAAAACCAGCAGAUAUGCCAGGGGUGCCCAGGGAGUUGAUCGAGCAUGCUUUGAAUGUACACCCAAAGGCUACGCCUAAAAAGCAACGCCUGCGAAGGUUUGCUCACGAUAAGCGUGAGGCCAUCAAACGGGAGAUUGCUAAACUUCUCGCGGCUGGAUUCAUUAAAGAAGUAAUCCAUCCAGAGUGGGUAGUGAAUCCCGUUCUUGUAAACAAAAAGAACAAUGAAUGGAGAAUGUAUGUCGACUACACUAAUCUCAACAAGCACUGCCCAAAGGACCAUUUUGGGCUGCCGCGCAUUGACCAAGUUGUUGAUUCGACGGCUGGUUGUGUCCUUCUUUGUUUUCUUGAUUGUUACUCAGGUUAUCAUCAGAUCAUGCUCAAGGAGGACCAAAUCAAGACCGCAUUCAUCACCCCAUACGGGACAUAUGCCUACAAAACUAUGUCCUUCGGGUUGAAGAAUGCAGGAGCGACUUAUCAGUGUGCUAUCCAGAUGUGCUUUGCGGAUCAGCUGCACCGGAAUGUUGAAGCCUAUGUGGACGACGUGGUCAUCAAGACCAGGGAGUCCAGCGACUUGAUUGCAGAUUUGGAGGAAACAUUUAGCAGUCUGCGCAGAUUUCGGUGGAAACUCAAUCCUACCAAGUGCGUUUUUGGAGUACCUUCAGGGAAAUUGCUCGGGUUCAUCGUUAGCAACCGGGGCAUCGAAGCCAACCCUGUAAAGAUCACGGCCAUCACUGAUAUGGGGGCUCCGGCCACAAUCAAGGAUGUGCAGAAGUUAACAGGUUGUAUGGCGGCCCUGAACAGGUUCAUCUCCCAACUCGGGGAGAGAGGACUACCCUUCUUCAAGCUCCUGAAACGCCAAGAUAAGUUCCAAUGGACGGAGGAGGCCGAGCAGGCCCUGCAGGAUCUGAAACAUCACCUUCAGUCACCUCCGAUCCUUACAGCACCAUUGCCAGGGGAGGAUCUACUACUUUACAUCGCAGCAACAACCCAUGUUGUCAGCAAUGCUAUUGUAGUCGAGCGAGGCGAGGAAGGCCAUGCGUUUGGAGUGCAGAGGCCUGUCUACUUCAUCAGCAAGGUCCUCUCCGAAUCCAAGGUACGGUAUCCAGCUGUUCAAAAGCUUUUAUAUGCAAUCUUAAUCACAUCAAGAAAGCUACGCCAUUACUUCGACGAGUACAAUAUCACUGUGAUCAUGGAUUUCCCGUUGGCGGAUAUUCUUCAUAAUCAAGAUGCCACGGGGCGUAUAUCCAAGUGGGCAGUGGAACUGGGGGCUUUGUCAAUCGACUUCAAGCCACGCACUGCAAUCAAGUCACAAGCUCUAGUCGACUUCAUGGCUGAAUGGAUGGAGAAUCAAGUCCCAACUCCAGUCGACAAGCCAGAGCACUGGACCAUGUACUUUGAUGGGUCCCUCAAGCUCGACGGCGGCGGCACUGGUGUUCUGCUUAUUUCUCCAUGAGGUGAAUAAUUGAAGUAUGUCCUUCAGAUCCUCUGGGCGGUAUCCAACAAUGAAGCCGAGUAUGAAGCCUUGCUUCACGGGCUUCAUUUGGCGGUAUCACUAGGGAUCAAGCGACUACUUGUGUAUGGCGACUCUCUUCUUGUCGUUCAACAAGUCAACAAAGAAUGGGACUGCAACAAGGAGAUGAUGGAUGCUUAUGUACAGGAAGUGCGCAAGUUGGAAAGCAAAUUUUCUGGCUUGGAGGUUCACCAUGUGUUGCGGGAACACAAUGUUGGCGCGGAUAUCCUGUCCAAAUUGGGGUCAACACAUGCUCAGGUCUCACCGGGAGUUUUCGUCCAAUAGCUCAAGCAGCCAUCCAUCAAGUCUUCUCCGCAGGUAACCAUCGACGCGGGUCCCCAACAACCCGAUCGAGAGGUUAUGGUGCUGGGGGAGGACUGGCGAGAGGCUUUCAUUGACUUCAUUCGAGAUCAAAGGCUACCAGCAGAAAUUGACGCCAGGAGCGCGGAGGCUGCACGCAUCCUGCGCAGAAGCAAGGGUUUUGUCCUGGUCGAUGGCAAGCUCUAUCGACGCGGCGCUCGGUCAGGAGUUCUCAUGAAGUGCGUCACAAAGGAAGAUGGUUACGACAUACUGCGGGAGAUCCACGAGGGCGUCUGCGAAAACCAUGCAGCUUCAAGAACGCUGGUGGGGAAAGCAUACAGGACCGGUUUCUGGUGGCCCACUGCAGUGACCGACACGGAGGAUCUCGUGCGCAGGUGCUAAAAUUGUCAAUUCUUUGGCAAACAGACUCAUGUUCCAGCCCAUAGCCUCAUCACUAUACUGCCAUCCUGGCCUUUUGCUUGUUGGAGCCUCGACAUGAUUGGGCCCUUCACAACAGCACCAGGCGGUUUCACCCAUGUUCUGGUGGCUAUCGACAAGUUUACUAAGUGGAUUGAGUACAAGCCGAUAGCCAAGCUCACACCAGAUCGGGUUUUCGACUUCAUCUUGGAUAUUUUGCACCGUUUCGGCUUCCCCAACACCAUCAUCACGGACUCGGGGUCAAAUUUCACGGCCAACCAGUUCUGGGAGUUCUGUGAGAAUGCUUGCAUCGAAGUUAAAUAUGUCUCGGUCGCGCACCCAAGGGCCAAUGGACAAGUCGAAAGGGCGAACGGCUUGAUAAUCGACGGCCUCAAGAAGAGACUUUAUGAUGAAAACAGCAAGAAGGGAGGCAAAUGGGUGCAUGAGCUGCCACAUGUCGUCUGGGGGCUUCGGACUCAGCCGUCCAAAGCCAUAGGACAAACGCCUUUCUUUCUCGUAUACGGAUCUAAAACUAUUUUACCAGCCGAUAUCAUGCGGAAGUCUCCAAGGGUCGAAAUGUACAAUGAAGGCGAGGUGGAUGAGGCGAGGCAGUUAGUGCUCGAUUCUGUUGAAGAGGUUCGCUGCACCGCUCUUGUUCAGUUAGCCCGAUACCUGCAGGGGAUCCGGCGAUAUCAUGAUCGCAACGUGAGGGAGCGGUCAUUCAGCAUUGGUGAUUUGGUCUUGCAUCGCAUUCAGGACGAAUCCGGCCUACACAAGCUCAACUCAAGGUGGGAGGGCCCGUUCGUCGUCAAGCAGGUUACAAGGCCAGGGUCAUAUCGACUACAAUGUCCCGAGGGUCAGGACAUCCCAAACUCGUGGAACAUCCAGAACCUGCGCAAGUUCUACCCAUAAGAAGAUGCCCGAUGAUAGCUGAAUCCCCAGGGGUUUAGAAGAUCUCUUUUCCUCGAAUCAAUUCGGAGGCUAUGUGCCACGUGAUUCGGUUUGUACAUCCCUUUACGAACACAAGGAGGCUACUGUCAUGAGCAGUACUUAUAUAAAUCGGCUUCUCGUCAUGAAUAUUACGGAGGCUACGGCCAUGAUCAUAUUUUAUUGACUUCAUUUUUUGACGGAACCCUCCGCUCCACCCAAAUCCUCUACAUAUCGACUUCCGCCGCGACCUUGGAUGGUCGCACGCAACAUCAGUUGCAUUUUCCCCAACGUAAUCGAUCCGAUCGACUAGUUUAUACCCAGUUUGUUGGAUGAGCUCGUACAAAGAGCUACCUCGACUACAUCCUGAGUGGCGGCACCCAGGGUAGUCUCGUUUCUGCCAAGAGCACGGCAGGCCAGCGGCAACACCCGCAUUUGCUCCCAACAAGUCCGAUCCGUCCGUCCGGGUCUUACCUAACUUGCGGAGCACGCUCAUAUGAGGAGCGACCCUGACUACGUCCGGAGUAGAUGCACUCGGGGUAGUUCUGCCUUAAGCAUGGCAAUCGCGUGACGAUGCUCGCGUUCUUUUCUAACAGUUUUAGACCCGUGAGUUCGGGUUGUGGACAACUUGCUAGAUAAGUUCCUACAUGGAGCUAGGGCUACCUUUAGGGUCGUUGCACCCAGGGUAGUGUCUACUACUUAGCCUUUUAAGCCUGGAUUCCAAUUCAGCUAAGGCACACAAACAAGUAGAUACAUCACAAGAGACCAUAUAUACAAGGAAGUGAAUACUUGUUUUUAGUACCCUAAUCCUGCAUUACACUUUGAACUAUACGUUCUGAUAAAGGUUGGGCUUCUAGGAGGUAUCUGUCAAAUUGAUCCUCGGUGCAGUCCGCCGCCAUUCCUUGAGCAAAUAUUUCCAGCUGCGCGUUUGGCAGGAAGGACUUCACGAUCGCGAGGGUGUUGUUGACGCAUGUGACAGGAGCCUCGAAGAGGAAUUUCAAUACUUUCUUCGGGGCCUCACGGAGCCGCUCUAGCAGGGGCUGAGGGUUUGUUUUGCCUUCUUCCGGUGGUCCACCAUGUCCACCAGCUCCCGGGCGGCCCCCCUGAGGUCUUCGAGUUCUUCGCCUAGCGUCUUGAUUCGCCGAAGGCCGUCGACGAACUGUCGCUCAGUGUCGCCGAUCACCUUCUGCAGCCUCUCGAUGUCAUCUGUACGGCGAUAGAGUAGGUUCUUCACAUCAGUAAGUAGCUCUUCUUUACUCAUUAAGAUUCUCCUAAGCUCUAUGGUGGAAAGCUUUUCAGAAUCCGAGGUGAGUCGUACAGUGCAAGUACUCGAGGGAAGCAAUGGCUUACCUUGGUGCGCUUUCUUUUGCUCCUUGAGCUGCUCGUGGUGCGCGUGCUUUUGUGCCUCAAGCUCCUUCUUCAGUUCUUCGAGUUGUCGCUGGAGCUCAGCGUUGACUUUCUCGAGAUGCAAGUUCUCCGCCUUCUCGUCAUCAACACGUUUCUUCAGCACAGCAAGUUCUUUGUGGUCACUCACAACUCCUCGCAGUUUCUCUGAUAUCCUCCGGGAGUCAGUGAUCACAUUUCUGCAUAAGGAGGGAAAUCCAGAUAAGCAACUCGCCGUGGUCACCAGCAGGAAAGUGCUCAGGUCUUAUCAUGACAAAUUCACACGCCUUCUUGAAGUUCUCUAUGUUGUCGUCUGACAGCAACGGGUCAUCCACCAGCUCGGUGGCGACGGCAUCUCGAUAACCUGACCCAGUCAGGAGCAGCUCAACGGGUCUCCUGGAGGUUCCCGCGGCUUCCUCAGAAGCCGACUGCUGAGCACCUGCAGUCACAAAUAUUCUCAGCUUACAGCACGCGGAUCCUGGCAGCCAGUCGGGGCGGUCAGAUGCUCACCUGUGCCAUCGGUAGGAGCGGCAUCCGGUGCCUCGACUUGUUCCCCACCACCAGCUCCGGUCUCGACUUGCUGGAGCUUGGGAGGCGGCAAGUCGGGCAGCGUCGCGUCCGCCUCGGGGGCUGGCUCCGCGAGCGUCGACUCUUCGAGGGCCGACGGCUCAGGGGCUGGAGCUGCUGUGACUGGCCCCGCGCCUGCAGAUUCUUUUCGGGUCACUGACCCGGGGGCUAGGGUUGUCGAGGCCGGCGUUAUUUGGAGGUCCGCUGCGCUUGCAGCUCUAACGAAGUUGAAGCCAGUCAGUGCACAAGUCGAAAGAUCAAAAUAUUUAUUGUGCAACCAGAGGCAGACUUGCAGUAUUGAUUUCUUCUUGAUGGCCCUUUUCAUCCGCACGGCCUGUCGUGGCAUUUCCGUUGUGGGCGGUGGGGCUUCACCAGCCAACGGCGCGGUCCCCGCCACGGCGAUGGUGACGGCUGCGGCGGCCGCCGGGGUUGUUUCUUCUUUUUCAGGCUCGGCCCGGGAGGAGGAGGCGGAAGGACUACAGGAGGACAUUGUAAGCACGGCAUAAUAUCAACAUAUGGUAAUACAGUAAGGCAAACAACAAGUACCCAAAGAUUUGACCUCUUGCACCUUCCGCUUCCGCACUAUCCGACGACCUUGCGGCACCAGCGGCAAAGCGCCGGUCAACUCCACAAUUGGUUCGGAGGGGUUGUCCAAACGCGUUUCCUCUUCAGCUUCCUCCCCCGCCUGGGAGCUCACAUCCUCGGUGGACCCGCUGCUGCGCUGAGCUGCGGCAAUACGAGCUCUCUUUGCCUCAACAGCGGCACUGGGGAGGAGGUGGUCUGGCCGGGGGAUGUCGGGUCGCGGCGGAUAGCUGCGGUACAGCUCUGUGUGUCCCUGCAGAAGUUUCUUCAGUCAGUAAUGGAUUAACAGAGGUUGAUUUCAACAAAAAGUAGUCGAAUACUCACUGGUUUGGGCGGAUUUCGCGCGGAAAACAACGUUGGCACAUACGGCACGGCGUCCACGUCCAGCAACACCUGCUGGACUCGCUGGAGUGCGGCUUCGUCUGAUAAUUCCUCUGCGCACAUGCGAGAAGGAUCAGCAGGGCCUGUGUACUCGAAUCCAAGUCGGUGGCGUUGUUGGAUUGGCUGGACGCGGCGUUUGAAAAAGGAGAACAUGACGGAAGCACCGGUCACUCCCUUUCUCUUCUGUGCCUCUAUGAUGUCCAGCAAUUCCUUGACUUGAUCCAUGUCCCCACUGGAAGGUUCAAGAUUCCAUUCCGGCCUCACUACAGGUGGUCUGUUUGAUUUCGCCGGGAGUUGGGGAGCAUGGUUCUCGAUAUAAAACCAGUGAUUUUUCCACCUAGGAAGGUUGGAGGGGAAUUUGUAUGAUAGAUAUUUGUCGCUGGCCUGCUGACGCAGUUGGAUGCCGGCGCCCCCUGCAACAGAAAGGAUUUUUGAUGUGGGCUGUGGUUUGAUACGGAAGAGGAAGCGGAAAAGAUCCCAGUGGGGUUCGAUUCCGAGGAAAGCUUCGCAGAAAUAGAUCAAAAUCGAAAUGUGGCAGAUGAAAUUCGGGUUGAGGUGAUGGAGCUCAAGCCCGUAGUAAUACAAAAGGCCGCGGAAGAAAGAACAAGAGGGGAGGGCUAAUCUUCGUUCGGCAAAAUGGAGAAACGUGACGAUUUCGUCAACAUUUUCCAUGGGGAAAGGUUCACGGUAAGAAGGGCGCCAGUUGACAAGGUUCUUCUCUUGCAGCAAUCCCUCAGAAACUAGCUUGUUUAGAUCGUUGAGGGAGCACUUACUGUGUGUCCACUCUGCGGUUGACGGCUGCGCUUCCUUUUUCUUCCCUUCGAUCUCUGACUUCUUGGGCGCCAUCUCCGAUUCGCUUGCCACGAGAUGCUCGGGGGCUGCGGGGAGAGGGGCGGGGAGAUCGGAGCGGGAGGAUUUCUUUGGGGGCAUGGCGGCGGCGCUUGGCUCUGAUUGGGGAUUUUGGUGGUUCUUGGCAAAAUGCAGAUUGAAAGCACAGUUUUUUCCCACUGUUGUCGUGGGGUUAAAUAACCAGCGGGGUGGGGAAAAGUUACUGUUCCGAAGUUCAAGAGUCGUUUUUUGGGAAUAUUUCGAAGAUGAGAGGUCAUUUGGUGGAUUAUUUGGAUUAAAUAUUCGAUUAAUCAUUUUUUCAGAGCUAAUUAGCCCAAAAAAAGGGGUCUUUCGAAUUCAUGAUCUAAUUUCCAUCAUUUAUAUCAUCACUUUGGUAAUUUCUCAAGUUGUUAUUUUUUAACCUGUAUGCCACGGUUUUCGGAUCCUUGUCUCCAAUUUUGUGGGAUUUGGAUUCAAGGCUCGGGGGCUGCGGGAUACAUGGUAUCGACUACUUAUUUUUCAAAUUUCUUUGAAGGAUAAGCAGGAUUACAGACUAAUGGGACCCUCAGCCUGAUUCUCCGAUUCAACCUAAGGCUCGGGGGCUACUCCAUAUGGAGUGCGAUUUUUUCAAAUCGCACGCCAUGUUAAAAAUAAAAUUUGGGGCAUGAGCACCUCAUAGCUUCGAUGCAGCCAAGCAAGUACUCGAAGAAGGACUUCAAGACGAAGCUUCAGAAGAAGUCGAAGAUUGCUUCGAAAGUACUCGAUAAGCCUGCAGUGCUCAACUACAAAGAGCUCGGGGGCUUGUCAGACCCGGGGCCACGGGACUGGGUACAUAACGUAGUUUAAAGAGGUUUAAAAGAUUAAGACCGUCUUAUCUCUUAUUUAUCUCGUUUAUCUCUUAUUUAUCCCAUUUAAGUAGGAGAUAGAGCUAACCGAUAUAGAAGGAAUCUACCCGAGACAUGUUCUGGUACGAUUCCUUAGCUGGUGUUGGUUAGUAUCUUUGUAACCCUGACCUCCCGGAUAUAUAAGGGAGGGUAGGAACCCCUCUCAAAACACGAUCUCUAGAUCAUUCUACAUAAAAGGCAAUACAAAUCACCAUACAGGACGUAGGGUGUUACGCAUCUUGCGGCCCGAACCUGUCUAAGCUUUGUGUUCCUUGCACUUUUGAGUUCCUGAUCUCGGCGUCUCCUCACCCGAAACUUACCACCUUGGGUAUAUCCCUCGGUGGGCAGCCGGUUAAACACCGACAUUACUGGAAGUUUUAAUUGAUUAUUGAUGUUGCAAUAGUUGUUUUAAGAUUGUUCGAUAGGUCAAUAUGAGAUUAUUGCAGUAGUAAUUUUAAGUAUGUUUGAGAUGUGAGGUGAUGUUGCAACAACUAUUUUAGAAUGUUGCAUAAAAUUAUUCUAAAGAUUUCAAUAAUUUAUUUUCCAUGUUACACUGUUUUAAUCUAAUGGACUAAUUCUAUUUGUUUUAUUAUUUUUUUGAAAAAAAAUAAUUUUUUGGAAUGUUGCAAUGAUAGUUUAAAAAUAUCGCAAUUAUAAUUUCUAAAUGUUGUAAAAGUUAAGCGUCUUAUAGAACUCUAUUUCUACGCAUUGUCAUUCUUAUCGGAUGUUGCAUGAACAUAGUGUCAUGUUGCGGUGCGAAUUUUCUACUAUAGAAUCGGAUGACAAAGUUAUUUUUAUAUAAAUUUUUGUAAUGUUGCAAGUACUGAUUUUAAAUGUUGUAGUAGUUAAUUUUUAAUGUUGCAACAAAGUGUCCGAUAAAAUUUUUUUCAUUGGACGUCCGAGCGAUAGCAGCUCUGUAGAUGAAAAGAAGGGUUGGGAACACAUAUCAUUCUUACAAAUAUUGGGAUGGGACCUUCACAAUCAUCUCAUCUUAUAUGAGGUGAUCCAUCAUGGGUUCAUCCUAUGAAUUUUGAUAGGUGCUUGUACCAAAUACGUUUAUGAGGUAUGAGGUGGUGAUGGAUCAUCUCAUUCCAUUCCUUAAAUCAAACAAAACAUCUCCUUAGAUUACGAAUUUUCCAUUAUCCUACCGAGGACUCUUCACAAAAUGGAGCAUGUCAUAUUUUUAAUGACUGUGACAGCACUAAACCAAAUUGUAAUGUUAUUGCAAAAAGAUAUUACAACUAACUUCAUAGUUAAAAUUAUUCAUACCGUGUUGGUUUGGUAGCUAAUAUGGAAUUUUGCAAGAAAACAAGAUUCGAACAUAAUUUUAAAGAACAGCCCAAAUUUUUUAAGCAAAGAAUUGCCUUGUGCUUUUUUUAUGAGGGAAGGAAAGUAAAAAAGGUUCAACUGAACUCACAGAAUGACCAGUUUACUGUUGUUCCGGCAAAUAACCAGGUCAAAACAGACUCGUUCAAAUGUGAUACAACCCGUAAAUGGCCUGGAGAAGCUGAAGCCACGGAAGCACCAACAAUGUGUCCUUGAGAUGUGCUGCCAACUCUUAGAAGGGAGUCACGCCAAAGAAGUGCCAACGGAAUUCUAGGGAGCCGAAGAAGCUAACUAUUAUUAUUUUUGUCGGUUUUCAAGACCGAUGAAAUAAACUGUAUCUUUUUUGACGGCUGCUCUGGCCGACGAAAAUAUGGUGUAUAUUUUCGUCAGCUUCGUUGGCCGACGAAAAGUGUUGUAUUUUCAUCGGUUGCUGACGAAAAUGCGUUCAUUUCGUUGAUUUUAUUCCAUCUACCGAUGAAAAUAUAUAUUUUCGACGGCUUUCUAUGUAUUUUCGACGGUUUCUGGCCGACGAAAUUAAACUAUUUUUUUACAGUGUUCUCAUGAACAGACCUGAAGGUGCAGGUGGCAAUGUCACGACCAGCAGCUAGCGAAACAGAAAGUGGUGCCAGGCCGCCAGCCGGAGGCGUACCGAGUCAAGGUCAGACACUGAAGCCAGAACCUUGUGCUUCAGUAUGGCCUUCUGGUCCAUGAAGCAGUAUCGCCUUUUACUGUGUGCAAGAACGUCCAUCCGGACGGCAGCCAUUUGGUUUAUUGGCCAUUUUGCUCAAGUCAAAACAAAGCAAGAAGGACGCAUUUGUAGGACACAGCUCGAGGGGGAAACUUUGAUGUUUAGUUAACGUACUGACGGCACGUACUUUACACACAUACAUCGUGGAUACAUGACGAUUGCAGCGACGAACACACACUAUUUGUGUUUACAAACAAAAGGGGACACGUGAUUUGGACCUUCGUAGGAGAAAAUGCACAUGUUUCUUGGUACAUUUCCAACUUUAACUCAAGUGCUCGCCGCGCCCUCCACCGCUUAUGACUAAUGGUGGCAUCACUAUUCUUCAAUUCCUCUAAAUUUGAAGCUUAGGUGAAUCCACGUGUUAACAUGUUGUCCCACUCAAUGCUGGAAUCGGUAUAAUGAACAUGGGAAGGGCCAAGCAAUUAACUAAGCUCUACAAUACUUUGAUUUUAAUUUCAUUUGACUGAAGAGUAAGAUGGUAUAAGCUCCAGUAAAAUGUGUUAAGACUUAUAUGGUGCUAAUGCAAAAGGUUGAACAAAAGGGCCAUGGCCCUCGCUAGCUCCACAGUGAGAUACCAUUGUGGAAAAAAAAAGACGUAACUGGAGUAGCAAAUCUCAAAAAGGAAAUUUUAAUUCAAGUUUUGCUAAUCCAACAAAGAUUUUGCAAAAACUUGUAGAUUGUUAGAUCUUAAUAAUAGUGUUAUUAGUAUACCUAGAAGCUAUCACUAAUAGCUCUAUUUGUAUUCACAUAAUUAAAGAGAUACCAUUUUGCGGCUGGUUUGGAUAUUUAUUAAGAAUGUGUUUAUGUAGCUUGACAUAUAGGUGAGUGGAAAUAAUAUGUCCUGAAACCAUAUUAGUCAUCCUCUUGAUCGAUCAAUAACCAAAGGCUUACCUCGAAUAAUGAAGAGCAUGUUCUUCUCAAUAUGGACAAAAUUGUUAGAAUAGUCAACUUAAAUUCGAUACCCGUAAUCAGGUAUGUUUAGUUAUGUGCCCACAAUUUCGCAAUGCUAGUUCCUCCUCUUGUAGCAACACAAAUAAUUUCUUUAAAUAGUGCAUGAUCUUUGUGUGAGGGUUAGUUUGUUGUUGCUACAUAAUGUUUUUAGACAUCAAGUAAAUUUUUGGCUGUUUUAAAUUUGUGUUUCUAGUAAUUAGUUGCUCCAUAUAAUCUGGAAAAAAAAAGAAAUAAAUGAAUUUAAAAGAUCCAUCGCAACAAUAGCUGGAGGGAGAAAAUGACUUUUAAUAUUCAUCCUAGUUUCUGUCUAGGUGAUAAACGUAUGGACUAUGGAAGUCAAAACAAUAAAGGGGUUUUAGUCGUUGCUUCAAAAAAUAAAGGGUUUUUAGCCUGUUUUCACAAUGUACUAUUAUUGGAUCCCUGUUCAAUCCAUUUAUAGAGCUAUUACAUCACCACAGAAUCUAUAGGAGUAUGUUACAUAAGCUAUUACUAAUAAUUUGGUAAGGCUAUGACGCCUUAAAGAUAUAUCUAUAGUUACUUGCUCCAUCUGAAAUAAGUGGGUCGAACAGUUCACCCUAAUGUCAAUCAAAGUCAAAAUAUCCUAGCGGUGGUGCUUACCUUUUUACUUGCCCUUUUACUGUUACUGUGUACAUUGGUGCUAACAUUGCAUAAUUUUUGGUAACCAUUGCUAGGUGCCAGCGAAUUGAGUGUAGCUUGUUUAUGGUGGAAUCUGCCCAUCCGAUUUCGAGUCCUCAACUCGGCAUGGGUGCUCGCAUUUUUCUAGAUGCGUGCGUGUAUCUAUAUGGUGAGUGUGUGUGCAUGUUUGUGAGUAUAUGCGUCAGUGCUUUUUUUGGAAAAAGUGAGCAACUUACUAAGUGUUAAGCUAGCUAGAGCCCUUUACGUCGUUGUUUUUGAAACUCAAUGUAAUUAUCCAUUAAUUGACCACUUUUAAAGUGAGAUCAUGAAUCUCCUAGCAAGUAUUUACACAAUUUCAGAGGGAUCUAACGAAUGGAUUGGUUUCGGGUCCCAGGAUAUAUUGCAACCCUGAUGUUGUUUUACCACACCCUGUUACCAACUGAUCAAAUGUGAUCACAUUGCUCUCACCAGUGUGUACUACUCCGAAGUCCGAAGUAAUAUCUAAUUGCAUAAUUGAUUGCGUACCAGUUUCAGGGUGAAAGAUAUUCAGACAGCAUUAGGCCUCGUUCGGAAUGGCCUGUUCCGGAGCUCAUUUCAUGUGGAUCGGAGUGGCCCAUUUUAAAAACGGGUACACGAUGGAAUCACCGUUUGGUUUAGGCUGGCCCGAAAAAUAAACAGACCAUGAAUCAACAUUCCACUCCCUCCACGGCGCGGAAGGAAGCCUGCUCAACUACCCUUCGGAUCGAAGUAUGGGGACGCGAGGCCGAGCCCGAGCUGGCGGCGCAGGAGGCGGCGGCUCGUCGCGAGGGGAGGCGACGGUGCAGCACGAGGCGACGGCGACUGCUCCCAUCCAUCGUCCAUGCUCUCCGCCGCCUUCUCGACGGUAACGCAUCGCUCUUAUCUUCCUUGCCCUCUUUUCUCCCUGGUGCUAGGGUUCUCGCCGGCGCUAGGAUUCUUUGCCGCAGCUCGGUGGUGGCGGCGAGCGCCGAACUGCCGAAGUAGGCUGCACGGAGUAGCAUGUUCGUCUUGGUCACAGCGAGGGUCCUCCGUCCAAGGCAGUGCGGCGGCGAGUUCAAGUGCGGCCACGUACGGCUGCUCGUGGCUCUGUCGCUCGUCUCGCUCUCUCUGUCUCUCGACUUCUCGGGUCUCUACAGGAUCUACUGUUGCACACUACACCAAAACAGCGCAAUUGUUAGGCAGCAUACGUAGGAUCUACUUGCAUUGUUCAGAGAAAUCAAAAUUUGUUGUGCUAUACAUCUGAACAAUCUGCAUAUUGAUCUGACCAAUCCACUCUGAACAAUGCCAGAGUAGCUCAACCAAGUUGAGGUACCCGGCGUGCGCGGACUCUGAACAACGUCAUCAUCUAGGCAGUACAACGCCAUGUGGAACCGUUUUAAGGAGUACUAGAUCAUUGUAGAGAAAGCUCACUCGCCAGGGAAUAUGCAAACUAAUGUUUGAUUCAUUCUGAAAGUGGAGAGCUGCACAAUUAUGCCAGCUUCAGUUGCCUCUGUUCUUGCUACAAAGUAUCCUAUGUUAGCUGUUGAAAUAUCCAGUCACUUUCACUAGUUGAGGUGCUGAGACCCCUGCAACCUCCUUUUACUUUGAUCCUUUACCAGGCUCUUGCUGUAUGUAUUAUUUACCGCAGAUCUUUUACUUCGCAUCGCUUUACUUUCAUAAGACAGAUAUCUUUGAUCUACACAGUGUCACAAUGUGCUACUAGGACAGUGUGUCUCCACAAUCAGUGCUUAUUAGUGUUCUAUCUGGUAAAGUGUCCCUUUUACGGUCAGUUGGUCAGGCCUAUAUCUUGGGAGGACAAUAUCUGAGUUCUUUUGUUUGGAAAAAAGUAUCUGGGUUCUGCACUGCCUGUUUGGAAAAGCUGCAGUAUUUACGAAAAAAACUACUUGGUUCCUUUUCCUGCAUCAUAUACCAUCAUUUAUCUUGUAGUAUAAACAUGGUAUGGCAUAUUGUUUUUAUUCUACACUCGUUGUCUGGUUGGUGAACACUUAUUUAUCUUGUAGUAUAACCAUUGUUCCAAUAGUUGUUAAAGGCAUUCUUAUGCAAGUUCAUUUUUCUUUGUCGGUUUCUGCUUUCUAUUUUGUAAAUCGUGUCAAACAUGUGCAUGGAGCAGCCUCCCAAGUGUUAACAUUAGGGAAUAUAGCAAAGAAUGCCUGAAGAGAUUUUGAUAGUGCUGUAACUAUUCGCAUUUGCAUUACAAUACAAGGUCAUUUCCUAUUUCCAGUGAGCCUAUCUCAAUCUGGUUAGGUUGAUCUUAUCAAGCAAACCAGAACAUAUGCAGAGUGAAUAUUUGCUAGUUCAUUUUCUUCUAUGACUUGCGAUAGGUUGCAAGUGUUCCGAUCUGUUUGCCCAAUUGUAUGCAGGUUGUUCCAACUGAGUAUAGAUAUCUCUCGAAGAAAGUAGUGCCAACAAAUCAGUUUUCUGUCAUGGAGUAUUUUCUUCCCAUGCGCCCAACUGACAGGGCCUGGCCAGGUAGUUGUUUGUUUUGCCCUUCAAGCAAGGUGUGUAUGUUCAUCUCUUUUCAAUGCUAAGCUCUUUUUGUUUGUCCUGCAGCUGUUUACUUCCUUUAUGAUCUCUCACCAAUUACAGUCACAAAGAGGAAAGACGGAACUUCCUUCAUUUCCUAACUCCUCUAUAUGCGGUUCUUGGAGGCACAUUUGCCAUGACAGGUUAUAACCUGCACCCUAUGGUUUUAUGUUUUCUAUUAUUUGUGUCAUGCAAUUUGUUUUGGUAUUAACUGAUAACAUUAGUUGCAUGCAAGGUCUUACUGAGAACACAACUUGGAAAAGAAAAAAAAUAGUUCAUUGUUAUUACGAUUCAUUGCUUGUUACAAUACUUUUCCUGACUUUUGUUAUACAGGAAUGCUUGACUGAUGAAUGUACCGGCUUAUCGAGUCUGUCACCAACUCAAAGACCAGAAGCGUGUUGCGGUAAUCGCGAAUUUCACGGUGGACGAAUGGAAACCAUGGAUACCUGCGGCUAGUCAAGCCAGUUAUAGAUCAUCUUGUCCCAGCUAACUGAUCAAGCCAUGUUGGUUUACAUGUUCUAUUUGCUCCAUGCAUGGUUAACUUAUAAAACUUACAAUCAGUUAGUGCUAUUUAAGUUUGGGUUCCUCUCUAUUCUUGGUGCAGCUCAAGAACACAUCUGACAAGGAGGAGAAGAGGUUUCAAGGUCUAAGUUAUACCUUAUCCAUGUCACCUAUAUAGUGGAGUAAAUGGAGCUUGUUUCGGCUGAGGAGUUCUAUGUUACUACGUUUGCAAUUUUGGAUCAAUGAUCAUAUUGUCACAUCUCUGAAACCUAGUUCUGUGUUGCCAGAACGUGCUCUUUCUAUCUUUCUAUCUUAUAUGGCAGUCAAAGGUUUUCAUCCUAUCAACUAAUGCUUGAAUCAUUUGUUAACUAGUGCUUUGAUAGUGCUUGCUCCAGGCUUAAAUAGUGCUUGGUCUAGAAUGUGCUCGUGUGUAUUAUAUAUUUUGUGUUGGCUCCAGAAUGUGCUACAGAAUGUGAAAGUGUGUAUUUUAUAGUGCUUGCUGCAAGAACCCGGCCGGAAUGGAU
rnacentral:lncRNA from 1 species